rnacentral:lncRNA from 1 species
GCCUUGAAGCUGUUGAUGUAUGUCACUGGUAGGGGUCCAGAAAAAUAAUUACUUGAGAGGUCAAAAAUUUGGAUUUUAGAGAAAAAAGGGCUAGACUUGGAGCUAUUGACACGCAAGGAACCAUGCAUAUGAUUUGACUUCAAUACAAGAACUUGCAAAAAUGAAAGACUUCCCAACCAAUGAAGAAAUGUAUCAUUGAUCUUGUUGUUACCAAGAUCCAGCACUUCCAUACCUCUACAAUUAAGGAUGGAUGGUGUCAAAGGCUCUUUUAACAGAUUUCCAUUUAAGUUUAAAUUACUCAAUUGGCAUCCCUUCGCAAAUGUUGGAGGAAUCGUCCCAUAAAACUUGUUCUUCUUCAGAUUCAAGAAUUCAAGGCUGUUGCUCAAAUUUCCAAAACAUUGCGGAAUUGUUACACUCAAGUUAUUGUGGGAGAAAUCAAGAAUUCGAAGAGCACUGGCAUUGCAUAUUAAAGUAGAGACCUCUCCAUUGAAAUUAUUAUUUGAGACAAAAAAGACAUUGAUCGUCGAAGCUGGAAUUAAAAGAUUUCCAACUAUCAAAUUGAAGCUUAAGUCAAGAGUUCCAAUAUUCUUCCAUGGAAAUUGCUCAACUUUUGUCAAAGAGUUGUGAGAUACAUUUAAGUAUCUCAAAGAGUCAUUCCUCACCUCUUGCAUCCACCGUGGAAUCUUGCAUUCAAUUCUAUUGUAAGAAAGGUCUAGACCUCUUAAACUUUUAAGCUCUUUUAGAAAUUGGGGGAAUUCACUAAGAUUGCAAGAUGACAAAGAUAAGUCUGUAAGAUUAGGCAAUAUUAUAUGAUUAACACUAGAUGUACUAUUAGAUGUUAAGGAUAGGCUGUUAUAUGAAAGGUCAAGAAGUUCGAGAUUUGGAAGGUUUGAGAACAUGCUAAACUCUCUGACACCAGUAAGAUUAUUUGAGGAUAAGCUGAGGGAGGUAAGAUUGAGAAGUUGGAAUAUUGAAGAUGGAAGAGGACCUUGGAGUUUAUUAUUUUUUAGAUAUAAAUAUUCUAGUGAUUUGGAUUGGAAUUCUUUGAUAUGCCCACUGAAUUGAUUUUGAGAGAGAUAUAUUGUCUUUAAGGAGGGAGCAAAAUACUACCAUGAUGGAAGUGUUUCAUUGAGUAAAUUGUUUGUUAAGUCUAAAGAUAUUAGAUUAGGAAAAGUGGUUACCUCGUCUGGAAUGGAACCUUCUAAUGAAUUUCCAGCUAUUUUCAAUUAUUCCAGCUGCGUUAGGUUUAGAAUUGACAAUAGAAUUUGUCCACUCAAUUUGUUCCAUCCCAAAUCUAAAUGAGUGAGUUGCAAAAGGUUUCCCAAAGAUCUUGGAAUUGGUCCUGAUAAGUUGGAAUGGGAGAGAUCCAAAAACUUCAAGGAUACAAGAUUCCCUAUCGAGCAGGCAAUCCUCCAAAAAAAUAUGCAUCUGAAAUAAUCAAGUCCUCCAAAGAUGAUCAAAUUGUGAUUGAGACUGUUAAGAAAUGGCUUAAAAUUGGUAGUGGAUUGUUGUUGUUGGUAGUGGGUUGUUGGUGGUAGUGGAUUAGUGGAUGGUUGUUGGUGUCCAUUUUCAACCACAAAUCUUUGCCAAAGUUUUGGACAAUUAUGUCCUUGAACUCUCUUAUAAAUAGAGAGGUUCAUUAGCCAUAUUCAUCAUCCCAAACCAAGAGAGAGCAAAGCUUGUUCUUUGAAAGCUAGGAUUUUAGCUUUCGGGUUUUCUAUAGGGGUUGAGAGUUGUGAGGUUCUCGGGUUGUGUCUUGAGUGUAAAACACUUGUAAUCUUCAUCUUGUUAUAGUGAAAUUUCUUUUCGCCUCUGCCCGUGGACGUAGGCAUUAAAGCCGAACCACGUAAAUCCUUGUGUUCACUUUAUUUUUCGUUUCGGUCAAUUUACUUGUAGUCAUAUCGGAGUUCUCGAAUCGAUCCUUUCCGCAACAAAUUGGUAUCAGAGCGUAGUUGAAGGAGUGAUAAUAUUUUCUGAAUUGCCCUGUGACUGCAGCUUUGUCUGAUCUUUCACAUCAGGAAGAAAAUAUUAUCAUUCAUUCAAAGGUUCCAAAUUAUGGCUACAAGUGUUUCAUCGACUAAGUAUGAUGUCGAGAAAUUUACCGGGAAAAAUAGUUUCAGUUUAUGGCGCAUCAAGAUGCGGGCAGUGCUGGUUCAACAAGGAUUGCUAAAAGCAUUGUCUGGUAAAGAUAAAUUACCAAGCACGCUUUCGGAAGAGCAAAAGGAUGACAUGCUAGAAAGAGCACAUAGUGCUAUUCUGCUAUGUCUAGGAGAUGAAGUGCUACGAGAAGUAGCGGAUGAGAAAACCGCGUCCGGUUUGUGGCUCCGGUUAGAGAGCAAGUACAUGACGAAGUCAUUGACGAACCGGCUCUACCUCAAGCAAAGACUCUAUGCCCUGAAGAUGGAGGAAGGUACACCUGUUUCCCAGCACCUGGAUAAAUUCAAUUCCAUUAUCAUGGAUUUGAAUAAUAUCGAUAACAAAAUCGAUGAUGAGGACCAAGCAAUAAUUGUUUUGUGUUCUUUGCCUCCCUCGUAUGAGAAUUUUGUUGAUACAAUGAUGUACGGUCGUGAUGACCUGACUCUAGAGGAGGUGAAAAAUGCCUUAAGUUCCAGUGAGUUGAGGAAGAAAAUCACUGGUAAGGUGGUCGAAAACAAUGAAGGCGAAGGCUUGGUUGCUCGAGGAAGAUCCAAGGCAAAGGGUGGAAGUUCAAGUAAAAGCCAUCCUAGAUCGCAGUCCAAGAAGAGAAUACAGUGCUACUACUGUAAGAAGUACGGGCACAUGAAGGUAGAUUGUCCGAAAAGGAAGGAGAAAUCAGAAUCACAGGAGCAACAAAAUGAUCGUGCGAAUGUAGCUGAUGCAGAUUCUUCAAGUGAUGCCGAGAUCGUUCUUGCAGUAUCCGACUCUUACGCUGGUGGGAGAUGGAUUCUUGAUACGGGAGCUACAUUUCAUAUAAGUACUUCGAAAGAUGCAUUCUCAACAUACGAGAAGCAUUCUGGUUCAGUACUAAUGGGAAAUGACCACGCAUGUCAAGUCAUGGGGAUUGGCACAGUUCGUAUAAAGAUGUUUGACGGUAUUGUUAGAACUCUAACUGAUGUUCGGCACAUUCCAGAAAUGAAGAAAAAUUUGAUCUCUUUGAGUACGUUGGACAAGAAAGGCUUUCGGUACUCUGCUGAAGGUGGAGUUCUCAAGGUAUUCUCGGGUGCUUUGACUGUGAUACGUGGUAAUUUGGAGCGGGGCCUUUACUUCCUCGAUGGUUCCUCGGUUACAGGUGUUGCGGGAGUGUCAUCAUCAGAUGAUCUAGAUUCUGACACCACGAAGUUAUGGCAUAUGCGGCUCGGGCAUAUGAGCGAGAGAGGCUUAUCGGUGCUAAGCAAACGAGGAUUAUUGUCUGGGCAGUGUACAGGAAAGUUGAAUUUCUGUGAGCACUGCGUCUUCGGUAAGCAGACUCGGGUAAAGUUCAGCACUGGGAUUCACAAGACAAAAGGCACAGUGGAUUACUUCCAUUCUGACCUUUGGGGGCCUUCUCCGACAAUUUCUAAAGGUGGUUACAGAUAUCUGCUUACCUUUAUCGAUGAUUACUCGAGAAAGGUUUGGGUGUAUUUUCUGAAGAGCAAGUAUGAGGUUCUCAUCAACUUCAAGCAAUUUAAAGCUUUGAUCGAAAAUCAAACAGGAAAGAAGAUCAAGCGAUUCCGGACGGAUAAUGGCUUGGAGUUUUGCUCAGGUGAAUUCAAUGAGUUCUGCAAAAAUGAAGGAAUAGUGAGACACCGCACUGUUCGUCGAACACCACAACAAAAUGGAGUUGCAGAACGCAUGAAUAGAACUCUCUUGGAGCGAGCUCGUUGCAUGCGAUCAAAUGCUGGGCUCGGUGAAGAAUUUUGGGCUGAAGCUGUUAAUACUGCUUGUUAUUUGGUUAACAGAUCUCCGUCAACAGCUAUUGAGCUGAAGACUCCUGAGGAAGUAUGGUCUGGUUCUCCUGCUGAUUACUCUGGUUUAAGAGUGUUUGGCUGCCCUGCGUAUGCUCAUGUAAAUGAGGGAAAACUCAAACCGAGGGCGAAGAAAUGCAUAUUUCUUGGAUACGGCCAAGGGGUGAAAGGAUACAGGUUGUGGUGUCCUGAUCCGGUUUCGUCCAAGUUCAUCAUCAGCAGAGAUGUGACUUUUGAUGAGUCAUCCAUGCUUCGAUCCACCACAAAUUCCCGGGAAAAGGAGGAGUCAGAUAGAAUGGGAGAUCACGGUGUUGAGAAGCAGGUGGAGUGUCAGGUGGACGCUCCAAUUCCUACGGAAGGUACUUCAGUCCAGGAUGAUCAAGUUGAGGUGCAAGAUUCCGAUGAAGAUGAGUCACCUCAAGAAAAACCAUAUAGCAUUGCCACUGGAAGAACGAAGAGACAAAUCAAACCAAAUCCGCGUUACGCUAAUCUGGUGUCUUUCGCGCUCAGUGUGGCGGAGUCCAUUGGUAUAGAACCUUCCAGUUAUAAUGAGGCUGUCACGUGUGAUGAGUCGGCACAGUGGGCAAUUGCUAUGAGUGAGGAGAUAGAAUCUCUUCACAAGAACCAUACUUGGGAGUUGGUUAAGCCGCCAAGUAACCAGAAGAUAGUUGGUUGCAAAUGGGUCUUCAAGAAAAAGGAAGGCAUCCUAGGGGUUGAAGCAACUAGAUUCAAGGCACGAUUGGUUGCUAAAGGCUUCACUCAGAAAGAGGGGAUUGACUACAAUGAAGUUUUCUCCCCAGUCGUAAAGCAUUCUUCCAUUCGUGUAUUACUUGCCAUGGUGGCCAAGUCUGAUCUAGAACUUGAGCAGCUUGACGUAAAAACGGCGUUCUUGCAUGGUGAGCUCGAGGAAACAAUCUACAUGCGUCAACCAGAGGGUUUUACAGUUCCUGGUAAAGAAGACCAUGUCUGUCUAUUAAAGAAGUCUUUAUAUGGAUUGAAACAAUCCCCAAGGCAGUGGUACAAGCGGUUUGAUAGCUUCAUGAUUCAGCAUGGUUACACAAGAUGUGACUAUGAUGCUUGUGUCUAUCAUCGGAAGCUCUCAGAUGGUUCGCACAUUUAUUUGUUGCUGUAUGUUGAUGACAUGUUAAUUGCUUCCAAAAACAUGUCGGAAAUCAACAAGUUAAAGUCGCAGUUGAGUGGUGAGUUCGAGAUGAAGGAUCUGGGUGCUGCCAAGAAAAUUUUGGGCAUGGAUAUUCACAGAGAUCGCAAGGCGGGCAAGCUUCGUGUGUCGCAGAAGAACUACAUUGAAAAGGUUCUUCAACGCUUUGGCAUGGAUAAAGCGAAAACUGUGAGUACUCCGUUGGCACCACAUUUCAAACUCUCUGCAGAGUUGUCACCACAAUCUGAUGAAGAAAAGCAGCAAAUGUCUCACAUUCCAUACUCGAGUGCAGUUGGAAGCGUGAUGUAUGCAAUGGUUUGCACUCGUCCAGACAUUUCACAUGCAGUUAGUGUGGUCAGCAGAUACAUGAGUUGUCCUGGCAAGGAACACUGGCAGGCCGUGAAAUGGAUUCUCAGGUACUUGAGAGGUUCUGCAGAUUUAUGCUUGGUAUAUGAUCAGAGUGACUGCACUAGCAGUGUCACGGGCUAUGUGGACUCUGAUUAUGCUGGAGAUCUGGACAAAAGAAGAUCUCUGACGGGUUAUGUUUUCACUUAUUCUGGAGGAGCCAUUAGUUGGAAAGCUGUGUUACAGUCUACCGUAGCCUUAUCUACGACUGAGGCGGAAUAUAUGGCGUUAGCAGAAGCAGUGAAAGAAGCAUUGUGGAUGAAAGGUCUAGUAAGCAGUUUGGGUUUACAACAGGAUUUCACUGUUGUAUUUUGCGAUAGCCAGAGUGCCAUACAUCUGACUAAAAAUCAGAUGUUUCAUGAACGGACCAAACACAUUGAUGUCAGAUAUCAUUUUGUUCGGGAACAUGUUACGCAAGGUGACAUUGUUAUCAGCAAGGUUGCUACCGAGAAGAAUCCUGCAGAUAUGUUAACUAAGGUGAUCCCUGCAUAUAAGUUCAAGCAUUGCUUGGACUUGAUAGGUAUUCGGGAUUGAUUAGCGCCAGAGAGGCGUUUGGAAGAGGUGAUCCAGUUCGAGGAAUUCACUAUGAUGUUCAGCUUGGUAAAUUUCAAGCCAAGGUGGAGAUUUGUUAAGAAAUGGCUUAAAAUUGGUAGUGGAUUGUUGUUGUUGGUAGUGGGUUGUUGGUGGUAGUGGAUUAGUGGAUGGUUGUUGGUGUCCAUUUUCAACCACAAAUCUUUGCCAAAGUUUUGGACAAUUAUGUCCUUGAACUCUCUUAUAAAUAGAGAGGUUCAUUAGCCAUAUUCAUCAUCCCAAACCAAGAGAGAGCAAAGCUUGUUCUUUGAAAGCUAGGAUUUUAGCUUUCGGGUUUUCUAUAGGGGUUGAGAGUUGUGAGGUUCUCGGGUUGUGUCUUGAGUGUAAAACACUUGUAAUCUUCAUCUUGUUAUAGUGAAAUUUCUUUUCGCCUCUGCCCGUGGACGUAGGCAUUAAAGCCGAACCACGUAAAUCCUUGUGUUCACUUUAUUUUUCGUUUCGGUCAAUUUACUUGUAGUCAUAUCGGAGUUCUCGAAUCGAUCCUUUCCGCAACAGAGACAAACAAUCCUUGAAAGAAAGAACUUCCUGAUAGACCUAAGUACUUUAAGGCCUAGAUUAUCAAUUGAAUUAAUCCAUUCUGUAGAGAAGGACAUCCUCGACAGAUCUAAAUGUUCAAGAUUGCUGCCCCGGUCGAACUUCAAAAGAUCAAGAUUGAGGUUUCGGUUGCCUCGCAAGUUGAGCAAAUUGAGGUUUGGGAAAUCAAAAAUGUUUUUUGGGAAUUUUCCUUGCAAAUCACAACUAUCAAGACUGAGAGACCUUAGAGAAGAUGAUAGAUUCAUGAAGACAUGAGGAUUAAUAGAAAACAUGUCGAUUCCAUCCAAGAAAAGAUGUCUUAGCUCGGUUAGGUUGUGAACAAGUCCCUCCAGAGCAUAUUUGUCAAUUGUUAAUUGUUCAUCAAUCCAAGAGAGAUCAAGCGAGACCAAUUUUGACAGGUGGGAGACCUGCGAUGGGACUACUCCUACAAACCCUGUAUGAGAAAGGUUGAGGUAGUGUAGGCCUGUAAAUCGACCAAACUCAGAUGGAAUUUUGGAAUGAUUAAAAUUAUUGAAGGCAAGAUUGAGUUUUUGAAGGUGAGGAAGAAGGAAGAGACUGGUAUUGGAAGGGAAGUUGCCAAAAAGCCAACUGCAGCUCAAGUCAAGGGUGUUGGAAUUUUCGAUUAACAGCAAGGAACAAAACAAAGUUUUUUGUGUUUGAAAAAUGAAAAACAGAAGCAAAAACAAAAGCUUGAUGAUGAAGAGCAAAACUUAACUUCAUUACUUAAAAUUGAGUAAAAACAAAUACAUAAGUAGUUCAAAAAUUACAUUGAAAGAAAACAAAGCUUGCUUGUGCAAGUAUCUAAGCUAUUACAUCAGCUUAAUGACAACCUAAGUCACUACCAAAUCAGCUAAGCACACAAUUAAACCUUAGCUGAUCAAAUAAAAAUGAUUACAACAUAAGCUAGCAAAAAGUCAACUGUGCAAAAACUCUACAGUCGAAUUACACCAUGGAUAUUAGCAUGCUUCAGCUGUGUUCCUGGUUACUUGCAUGCUGCAGCUCUGUUGCAUGGUUUCUUGCAUGUUGCUGCUGUGUUGCCACCUUUGAACAAAGGGCAAUAACAUGAGCAUUAAGGUGAUCACAACUGACCCCAUCCCAUGAGCAGCAAUCUGUACCCUCCUUCCAUGAAUUUGUCUUGGGAUAAGAUUUAAGGCCAGCAAUCUCAUCGCAAUACAAAGCAGGAAGCAUUGUCUGAGUGAUGGAAAAAGAAUUCUUUAACUGGAUAGGGAAGCAGCUUCAGGGUGAGAGCAGGAGUGAGAUCCUGAAGAAGAAGCAUAAAGAUGGGGAAAGAAGAGAAAUAGGCAGAGAAAGAGUAUAAGGAGGCCAUGUUAUGUUUUUAGAGUAAGAUGAUGGAGAAUGAUAUUUAUAGGCAACAACAACAGCAGUUGAAAAGUGAAACAAAUUAUAAUAUCCAAUACUAAACAAAAGAUUUGUUUAAAUAAUUUUAGAUGUAUAUUUUCAUAUUUUAAAUAAUUUAUUUAUCAUUUAAAUAGUAAUCUGUGAUUUUAUAAUAGAAUAUGCGUUAAAGGAUUCUGGAAAGUUAAGGAUCUGCACGCACACAGACAUGUUGUGAAGAUUAGGUGAAAUACUAGCUGUCCGGUUGUCUUUUUAUGUGUUUUUGACCUUCAUUUAAAUAUAAAAAAUGUCUUUGUUUUUCUGUUGGUAAUGAACAGGAGCCAAAUGUUGAAGGGGCUGGAACUUGUCUUGUAUUGCUUGCCUGCAGAUUUUGGUAUGUUUGAAAUGUAUGGAAAUGUGCCAAGUGGAACUAUUUUGGGGCUUAUCACUACCUCUGUCACACAACAGAACACAAAAUAAAAUAAUCAAAUCAGAUCUUUGAAUAUUGAAAUACCAAAAGUUAAAAGAGUACAUGCACUAAAAUACAGUAGAAUAAAAUAGAAAUAUUUUUUUUUAGAUUGUAAAUAAGUAUAUAUUAUUGUUGUAAAAUAUAGUCGAAAAUAUUUUUUUGAUAAAAUUGGAAUAAACACAUUGUGGAUGAAAAUUUUUAAUACAAUACAAAUUGAUCAUUAACAAAUUAAAUGACGAUUUACAUGAGAAAAAUUUAAAAUAAAAAAAAUAUCGGUGUUGUUUGCCCAAAUGUGUGCCACAACCCAGUGGGUGUUAGUUACGAGUAGGAUUUCAUCGUAGUUAGGGUUCUAGCUCUUUCUUUUCUUCACCUCCACCUCCAAUUGAUCUCCAUCUUCAUUUCGUUCCUUCGUGCUAGUAUGGAUUAAAUUCUUGCAAUACAGGGGAGAGAAACCUAGUUUUCCCGUAAGCUUAUUAUCAAAAAAGUUGAACAAUUUCAAGUUCCAGCAAAUGGAAAGGGGCUUAGCGAUCUUACUCACACUAGACUUAGCACCUAGGUGGUUUGGCUAAUAGUGGGCUAAGAAAUCUUGAAUGGCGAUAUGAGUUGGGGUUUCCGAGGAAUACAAAUAACCUCUGGAUUUUUUUUUCCAAAUUUGACGAGCAUCUAGAAUAACUAGUGAAUUACAAUUCUAUUGUACGACAAUUGGUGCAUUGGUCUUUGCGGACUUAAUGUGUUUUGCUUGUUGGUUCUAUUAUCACAAAGCGAACCCAAAAUUGGCUUGGUUCCAAGAUGUAGAAUUUAUGUUAGAAUCACCAUUUAGCAAGGUUACCGGGGCUUAUUUCCCUUUCUUGGGCAGGGCAUCAAGUACAUGUCUCUUUACCAAUAAAAUAAUUUUUAAAUGCUUUAGUAGACUCUAAAGAGAUCCCACUUCCCCAUGAAUUUAUAUUGAAUCAUGAUCUUUUGGCUCAACUUUAUCCUAGUUUUGAUGAGGGAACAACCCCAUUUUUUUCCUUGAAUUGGUCAAAAUAUGCAAAAUUAUUUCUUACUUUUCGUGGAUGAUUAAAUCCAAUGAUUGGGGGUCCAUGGUUGACUGGUAUUGCACACCAUCAUUUAGCUAUUACAAUUCUUUUCCUAAUAGUACGUCACAUGUAUAAGACCAAUUGGGGCAAUGGGCAUAGCCUAAAAGAUAUUUUAGAGGCUCAUAAAAGUCCAUUCAUAGGCCAAGGACAUAAAGAACUAUAUGAAAUCGUAACAACACCAUGGCAUGCUCAAUGAUCUCUUAACUUAGUUAUGUUAGGCUCUUUAACCAUUGUUGUAGCUCACCUUACGUAUUCCAUGCCCCCUUAUCCAUAUCUAACUAUUGACUACGGUACACAACUAUCAUUGUUCACACAUCACAUGUGGAUUGGUGGAUUUCUGAUAAUGGGUGUUGUAUGGUAAAAAUUAGUUGUAUUCAUUCUUCACAUAGUUGAUCUUUUGUUGUGGAAGUAUUGUAUUUCUGGUAAUCCAAUAAGUAUUCAGUUUUUGGUACAAUUGAUUUGCAUUUUAUUAUUGUAUUUUGUGGAAGGAUCCUUUUUCUAUUUUGUUUUUUGCAUUUCUGUUAAGUUUACAUUUUUCAGCAAUUAAUUUAUGUAGUUUUAGCCAAACUAUGUAGCGUUUCACUUUUGGUAAAAUUCCAUCCUUGGUCCCUUUAAACUCCUUUUUGCUUUAAUUUGAUUGCUUUCUAGCUUUGCAAAUUACAUAACACUCUUCAAAUGUCUAAUUAAAUUCUCACUUUUACGAGUGCUAUGUUAAUCAAUUUUAAGUUCCAUAUAACACUUACAUGGCUACAAAAUGUGUGUGUGUGUGUGUAAGUGUCCUCAACCACAAACAAUCCAAAUUUGCUGAGAAACCACCCACUGUACAUAGGUUUGCCAAUGAGAUGGCAAGCAGACUGCUAGCUAGAAAUUCAUGCAUCUUUGAAUCAUCAAUUCAAUUAAUAAGCUUAACUAGAGGAAAUAAGGACUUUACACCACCAAUUAAAGCAACCUAUAUGUACCCUUUUACAGUCUGCAUUGUUCCAUGUUUCCAUUCAUUACAUCAUUCCUUCAACUCUGCUAUAUAUUAUUACCGUCUCCAUAUAACCAAACCUUUUACUGCUAACUUGUAAAGAAAUUAUGAAAAUACAACAGAUAUGAUUGAGACAUUUUGUUCUCCUUUCUCCUUUACUGAGCAGUAGCAAAGAUUAUGGAGACUAAAUUGAAAAUCAUGAAAGAAGACAUAAACAACACCACCAUACAAAAUGUUCCACUCAAACAAACCAUUACAGAUAGUACGAAAUCCAAUGAAAGACAGAGGAAUUGGUACAAUAAUAAAGACAGACACAUACCAAUGCAACCCUUCACCAUAGGCAAAACGGUCUACAGAACAAGAAAUUAUGAAAAUACAACACUAAUUCUUAAACAUCAUUUGCAGUAAUUAGAUCCUUCUUCGUCUAUUGCUUCGAUUGCCUUUCUUUGACUUUCUUCUUCGCCUCUUCUCUUGUUGGUUUUCAACCAAAUUCACCAACCAUUUCGGCUUACCAGUUUGGAAAACAACAUAUCCCACGGACAUUCCGAACACCACUCCGCAUCCAUAGCCUAUCAACACCACUUUCCAACCAAAAGCGAUGUUUGAUUUUGAGCCAUCAUUUUCAAGCACAUUUGGAGGUGCUGGCUCAAUGAUGUUGCAACCUUUCGAGACCGGAAAUCCACAUAGUCCCUUAUUUCCAUCAUAUGAAUCAUUUCCAAAUGUGUUGAACUGUUUGCCUUGAGGAAUCUGACCAUGGAGUUGAUUUUCAGAAACAUUGAAGGACGAAAGAAAUGGCAGAUCUGCCAAUCUAUUUGGAAUCGUCCCAGACAACCUGUUUGAAGAUAGGUCCAGCCAUUCAAGACUUGUCAAAUUCCCUAUUGAGGUGGGGAUACCUCCAUUAAGGUUAUUAUGAGAAAGGUUGAGCCCUUUCAGUAAGUUAAGCUUCCCAAAAACCUCUGGAAUACCCCCUUCAAACUGAUUGUCUGAUAGAUCAAUGAUCAUCCACAUGGUGAAAAUUUUCACCAAUUCCAUAUAUUGCCCUUUCAUAACAAUUCCAAUGGAAUAGGUAUAGAAGCCACUACCUCUCUGAACAUACACCCCCAUGUACGACAUUGUACUCCCAAUCUUCUCUAGAUUUAUCAUAGCCUUGAAGCUGUUGAUGUAUCUCACUGGUAGGGCUCCAGAAAAAUGAUUACUUGAGAGGUCAAAAAUUUGGAUUUUAGAGAAAAAAGGGUUAGACUUGGAGCUAUUGACACGCAAGGAACCAUGCAUAUGAUUUGACUUCAAUACAAGAACUUGCAAAAAUGGAAGACUGCCCAACCAAUGAGGAAAUGUAUCAUUGAUCUUGUUGUUACCAAGAUCUAGCACUUCCAGACCUCUACAAUUAAGGAUGGAUGGUAUCAAUGGCCCUUCUAACAGAUUUCCAUUUAAGUUGAAAUUAGUCAAUCGGCAUCCCAGUGCAAAUUUUGGAGGAAUCGUCCCAUAGAACUUGUUCUUCUUCAGAUUCAAGAAUUCAAGGCUGUUGCUCAAAUUUCCAAAACAUCGCGGAAUUGUUCCACUCAAGUUAUUGUGGGACAAAUCAAGAACUCGAAGAGAAGUGGCAUUGCAGAUUAAAGAAGAGACCUCUCCAUUGAAACUAUUAUUUGAGAUCAAAAAGAAAUUGAUGGUCGAAGCUGGAAUCGGAAGAUUUCCGCUGAUCAAAUUGGAGCUUAAGUCAAGAACUUCAAUAUUCUUCCAUAGAAAGUGCUCAACUUCUGUCAAAGAGUUGUGAGAUACGUUUAAGUAAGUCAAAGAGCCAUUCCCCACCUCUUGCAUCCACUGUGGAAUCUUGCCUUCAAUUUUGUUGCAAGAGAGGUCUAAGCUUUCCAAACUUUUAAGCCCUUUUAAAAAUUGGGGGAAUUCACUAAGAUUGCAAGAUGACAAAAGUAAGUCUGUAACAUUAGGCAAUAUAUGAUUAACACUAGAUGUAGUAUUAGAUGUUAAGGAUAGGCUGUUAUAUGAAAGGUCGAGAUGUUUUAGAUUUGGAAGGUUUGAGAACAUGCGAAACUCUAUGACACCACUAAGAUUAUUUGAGGAUAAAAGGAGCCAGGUAAGAUUGAGAAGUUGGAAUAUUGAAGAUGGAAGGGGACCUUGGAGUUUAUUAUUUUCUAGAUCUAAAUAUUCUAGUGAUUUGGUUUGGAAUUCUUUGAUAUGCCCACUGAAUUGAUUUUGAGAGAGAAUUAUACCCUUUAAGGAGGGAGCAGUAUACAACCAUGACGGAAGUGUUCCAUUGAGUAAAUUGUCAUAUAAGACUAAAUAUAUUAGAUUCGGAACAGCGGUUACCUCAUCUGGAAUAGAACCUUCUAAAGAAUUUUCAGAUAUUUCCAAGUAUUCCAACUGCGUUAGGUUUAGAAUUGACAAUGGAAUUUGUCCACUCAAUUUAUUUGAUCCCAAGUCUAAAUGAGUGAGUUGCAAGAGGUUUCCAAGUGAUCUUGGAACCGGUCCUGAUAAGUUGGAAUAGGAGAGAUCUAAAAACUUCAAGGACACAAGAUUCCCCAUCGAGUCAGGCAAUCCUCCAAAAAAAUUUGCGCCUCUAAGAAUCAAGUACUCCAAAGAUGAUAAAUUUGUGAUUGAGACAGACAAUCCUUGAAAGAAAGAAAUUCCUGAUAGAUCUAAGUACUUUAAGGCCCGUAGAUUAUCAACCGAAUCAAUGAAUUCUGUAGAGAAGGACAUCCUCGACAGAUCCAAAUGUUCGAGAUUGCUGCUCCGGUUCAACUUCAAAGGAUCAAGAUUGAGGUUUUGGUUGCCUCCCAAGUUGAGGAGAUUGAGGUUUGGCAAAUCAAAAAUGUUUUUUGGGAAUUUUCCUUGCAAAUCACAACCAGCAAGACUGAGAGACCUUAGAGAAGAGGAUAGAUUCAUGAAGACAUGAGCAUUAACAUAAGACAUGUCCAUUCCACCCAAAAAUAGAUGUCUGACAUCGGUUAGGUUGUGAACAAGUCCCUCCAGAGCAUGUUUGUCAAUUGUUUGUUCACCAAACACAGAGGAGGAGAGAUCAAGUGAAACCAAUUUUGACAGGUGGGAGACUUGGGAUGGGACUUCUCCUGCAAACCCUGUAUAAGAAAGGUUGAGGUAGAAUAGGCUAGUAAACCGACCGAACUCGGAUGGAAUUUUGGAAAGAUUAAAAUCAUUGUAGGCAAGGUUGAGUUUUUGAAGGUGAGGAAGAAGGAAGAGAGUGGUAUUGGAAGGGAAGUUGCCAUAUAGCCAACUGCAGCUCAAGUCAAGGGCAAUAACAUGAGCAUUUAGGUGGUCACAAGUGACCCCAUCCCAUGAGCAGCAAUCUGUACCCUCCUUCCAUGAAUUUGUCUUGGGAUAAGAUUUAAGGCCAGCAUAAUCAUUGCAAUAAGAAGAAACAUCCUCUGUUACGGAAAAAGAGUCCUUAAACUGGAUUAGGGAAGAGCAGGAGUGAGAUCCUGAAGAAGAAAAAGAAGCAUAAAGAUGGGGAAAGAAGAGGAAUAGGCAGAGAAAGAGAUAGGGGGCCAUGUUAUGUUUGUAGAGAAAGAAGAAGGAUAGGAAUGGUAUUUGUAGGCAACAAAUAGUACCACAACAUUGGUGUUACAGUAUUUUUUUUUUCUUUUACAUUGAAAAGCUAUGGAUAUUAGAUUUUCAAAAAUUUUGUAUUUUUCACCAUCAUCAACAACCACUUAGUCUUCUUUUUACCAUAUAUUUUUCAUUCUAUUUUUUUAACAAAAUCUUGUAUUUCAUUUCAGCUUUCAAAACAACUAAAAAAUUUAAAAUUGAUGAAAUUACAAAGUAGAUUGACUUAGUCUUCUUUCCUAUAACAUUUAAAAGAAUAUCUUGUCAACCAAAGUUAAUUAAUGUGAAAAUUCUUUUUCACACAAAAGAACAAAAUUGUGCUCUAUUCACUAAGUUAGAGGAAAAAGACUGCUAGAUUUUUUAAUUAUUUUUUCUUUGAAAAAUUUGAAAGUUUUUUACUGCCUUUAAGCCAAUAAAAAAAACAUGUAUUAAUUUUGUUUUUAAAAAUAGUGUGUUUGAUUGUGAAAUGAUUCAUCAUCCUCCACCACAAACUAUCCAUAUUUGCAGUGUGAAAGCAGCUACUUUCAUAAAGAAAUUACUUAGGAGAUGGGAUCCACCAAUUUUACCUAAACUCGCAUCAACAUUGUUUAGCAAUUUCAAAAUAGACUAAUUAGUCUGGUUCAAAUACCAAGACUACAAUAUCUAUUCACUUCACUUGGUCUUGCUUCCUAUCGCUGUCAGCCAAACUUGAUCGACUAGCAGUAAGGAAAUUUCAGUCAUUUGCAGCAUAAUGUACAAGAAUUCCACUCCCGCAAAAUAAUUUACAAUAUGGACUAACACACUAAAAAUGAUUUUUAAAAAAUGAUUUUUAGAAAGUAAUUUUUGAAAAAUGGUUAGAAGAUAAUUUUUGUUUCUGAAAUAGUUAAUUUUUUUUGGUGUUUAGAUAAAUUUUGUUAUGUUUUCAUUGUUUACUUGAGUUUAUUUCAUAAAGCUUAUGUAUAUAUUUUAAUUAAUCAUGUUUUAGUUUUAAUUAAUCUUAAUUUACUUAAUUAAGCUUAAUUGUUAACUUCGUACAUUAGAAUAUAAAUUUAUGUUUAAUUAAGUUGAAAGUGAUAAAUAUUUAUUUUGAAUAUUAUUUGGAUAAGUUGAAAAAUGAUUUAAUUUGAUAAAAUUGAAGUCAGGGUCAUAGAACUAUGCUUUUUACUGACAAAAUCUUAGAUGCAGUGAUUAUUGAGACUAAAAAAUGAAAGUCAUGAAAGAAGACAUAAAUAGUUGAACCAUACAAAAUGUUACAUUUUGUAAUGCAAUGAAAUAUAGAUGAAUUGUUACAAAUAUAAAGACAGAUGCAUUGCAAUGCAACCUUUCUCCAUAGGAAAAAAAAUUUGACAGACUUCAAAACAAGAAAUUAUGAAGAUACAACAUACACACUUGAACAUCAUUUCCACUAACUAGAUCCUUCUUCGUCCAUUGCUGCGACUGCCAUCCUUUGACUUUCUUCUUCGCUACUUCUCAUGUUGGAUUCAACCAAAUUCACCAACCAUUUUGGCUUACUAAUUUGGAAAACAACAUAUCCCACGACCAUUCCAAACACUACUCCGCAUCCAUAACCUAUCAACACCAAUUUCCAACCAAAAGAGAUGUUUGAUUUUGAACCAUCUUUUCCAAGCACAUUUGGAGGUGGUGGCUCAAUGAUGUUGCAACCUUUUGAGACCGGAAAUCCACAUAAUCCCUUGUUUCCUUCAUAUGAAUCAUUUCCAUAUGUGUUGAACUGUUUGCCUUGAGGAAUCUGACCAUGGAGUUGAUUUUCAGAAACAUUGAAGGACGAAAGAAAUGCCAGAUCUGCAAAUCUAUUUCGAAUUGUCCCUGACAACCUGUUUGAAUAUAGGUCCAACCAUUCAAGACUCGUCAAAUUCCCUAUUGAAGUGGGGAUACCACCGUUAUAAACACUGUCAUAUGGCAUGAAUAACAUACUCAUAUAUUUACUGUCACAUGGCAUGAAAAACACACCCUCAUAUUCACUUUCACAUUAGUCAUCAUAAGCUUAUAACAUAUGUCAUAGCAAUCUCAUAUAUAUUCAUAAUUUCACAAUUUCACAAGCGUACAUAUAUCACAUUUAAUCAUAUGCGCGAGAAAACUUACUCUCACUUACUCUUGGAAUUUAGAGUAGGAAUUUAGGCUACCACUAAAUUCUCAUCAAUUAAACAAUGAAUCAUCUACGAGCAACAAUUUCAAACCACAAUGAAUCGAGAGCUCAAACUAGCUCUUCCUCUAACUCGUAGAAGGCUUUAAUGAAUCCGAGGCUUCACACAUGACAAUCACACAAUACUCACAGUCAAAUGACAGCCAAGGACCCACUUAAACUAACCAAAAUAAAAGCCUAAGCUACCUUCUAAUGUAACCAAACCCUUUAGCAUGACGAACUUAAAAUGCAAAUAUAUCAAUCUACACUUAAACAUUUUCACAUGAAACAAGUUUCAGUCAUCCCCCAUAUUCAUUUAUAGCUAAACUCCAAUCUUUAAACCACACAAAACUACAAGUUUCAAGGUAUAACAUUUUUCCACAAAUUUUGACCAUAAUAAUGAAAAUUCAUUAAAACACGGGAAAUCUAUAAUGAAACUUAGAAGUAAUUUUAAAAAACUUCUAAUUAAGUUAAAACAAGUUGAAAAACACUUUUAAAUCACUUUUUCAUCCACAAUCUCGAAUUCCACCAUUAAUGACCCAAUUUUUAGGUUUAAAUUAAAACAUGCAAUUUCAUAACUAAAAUCUCAAUUUUAAAGUCUAGAUAACAUUAAAAACUAAUGAGAAAGUAAAUGGUUACCUUUGAUGAAAGAUUAAACGAGUUUUGAAGUAAAUUUGAAAAACCCACAAUUGAAGAAGAAGAUGAAAUCUAUGGCGUUUUUGAGUGUUUUUCUUGGAAUUAUAAGAAAUCAAAGUACUAUUGUUUGGGAAUAAAAAUUAAUUGAAAGAUCAAGGGAAUAGCAAAGGACGGCAAUAGCAAACUUUGGAGAGUAACUAUUGUGAAAUAGAACAGGGAAUGGGGUUUAUUAGGUUCAAUUUAAAACAUUGGUAAAACUUCAAUCUAAGUGCUCACUAUUUUAACUUUGUUACAAAUUAGUUCUUUUUCUAAAUUUUAGGUAUUUAAAACUCAUUUUCAGAAAUCGGCUCAAUUCCCUAAUAGCCAUUGUCGAAAACAUUAUUGAAUACUAACCUUACGAAAUUUUGAUUACAUAUAGGCUAAAAUUCCUAAAAAAAAAUUGAAACUCUUAGAUCCUAUUUUGGGGUGUUCACGUAUGGUCAUGAUUCAUGUUGAAUUAAUACAUCAUUCACCGUAAUAAGGCUUAUCGUUGUAAUAAUUAGUUAAAUCACCUAAUAUCUAAAAAAUUAUUAUUAUUUUCAUAAAAUCAUUGAUCAAAUUAUUGUUUUCAAAUUUCAUACAUAAAAUUAACAAAUAAAGAUAGCUCUAAAUAGCAAAACCCAAUAUGUGUAACAAGUAUUUUUAUUAAUCCAUUUGGAAUGUUAAGGUUUGCUGGAGCAAAUAAAUUGAUUAAUGCUUUGAACUUUCCAAACACUUUUUAUAGUUUUGUUAUAUGCAUUUUGUAUAAUUAGUAUAUUUGAAUAUAUUAGAUACAUCGUCUAAAACAAUGCCAAUUGUAAUUUUUUUAUAUUUUGUUGAUCAUAAGCGUAUUAUAUAAAUAAUUUAAAAAAAAAAAGAUGGAGUGAUACAUUUAUGUAGUGCUUAUGAAUAUAAUGUUGGAUUAAAAUCCUUAAUUAUGAGUACAUAUGUAUAUGCUUGAUAUUACAAUUAUCUUAAUAAUUUUGUUUCUGUUCUUGUUGAUUGAUGAUUAUAGAAAUCAUUAUUCUUCUGAAGGCAUACUUUGUUGUCAAUGACAGUACCUGCACCCUAAAAAAGUCACCAGCUUUAACGACUACAAAAGUUGUCCUGCCUGAUAUUUAUUAAAAAAUCACCAGGAAGCACAUUGUCAGGACAUCCUUGCUGGAAAAAAACUUGGUAGGAUGGUUUUUCUGUGCAAACUUAGUAAUUAAUUUAUGUUGUUUUUACCAAACUUUGUAGCGUUUCACUUUUGGUAAAAUUUCAUCCUUGGUCCCUUUAAACUCCUUUUUGCUUUAAUUUGAUUGCUUUCUAGCGUUGCAAAUUACAUAACACUCUUCAAAUGUCUUAUUAAAUUCUCACUUUUACGAGUGCUAUGUUAAUCAAUUUUAAGUUCCAUAUAACACUUACAUGGCUACAAAAUGUGUGUGUGUGUAAGUGUCCUCAACCACAAACAAUCCAAAUUUGCUGAGAAACCACCCAUUAUAUAUAGGUUUGCCAAUGAGAUGGCAAGCAGACUGCUAGCUAGAAAUUCAUGCAUCUUUGAAUCACCAAUUCAAUUAAUAAGCUUAACUAGAGGAAAUAAGGACUUUACACCACCAAUUAAAGCAACCUAUAUGUACCCUUUUACAGUCUGCAUUGUUCCAUGUUUCCAUUCAUUACAUCAUUCCUUCAACUCUGCUAUAUAUUAUUACCGUCUCCAGAAAACCAAACCUUUUACUGCUAACUUGUAAAAAAAUUAUGAAAAUACAACAGAGAUCAUUGAGACAUUGUUGAAGUUGGCUUGCAUGCAGACCAAGAAGCACACCAAGCUGUCCGAGAUAUGCAAGUUGCAGCUGAAGCUUAUGCUGCUGUUUUGUUACUUUCAAAUAGAUAUUUUAUUAUUUACUUAGAUAUGAACUAAGUUGCUGAUAUGCUUGAUGUAAUUAGGAGCUGAUAGAUUGAUAAAUCAGCUUUACCAAGUGUACAAGCAAUGUUUAUCAAGUUACUAAGCCACUUAGUGGAGUUAGGUAUGUGUUUAGGUAACAUUUUCUUAUUUUUGACCAGCUGAUUGCUUGCUAUAUGUAAUGGCAUUGUGCCUUCAUUCAAAUGUAAAGAAAUCUUUCAGAAAAUUCUUCUUCAUUUGGUCUUUACCUAAGCAUUUUUUUUCACGAAGCUCUUGCUGUUUUUGUUUUGUUUGUUGAGCAAGAUAACAAUGCUUUAUGCUUAAGUUUCUGUCAAAAUUUCUCAUUCUGUUUUCUUAGUUCCUACAGACAUUUUGUUCUCCUUUCUCCUUUACUGAGCAGUAGCAAAGAUUAUCGAGACUAAAUUGAAAUCCAUGAAAGAAGACAUAAACAACACCACCAUACAAAAUGUCACACUCAAACAAACCAUUACAGAUACGAAAUGCAAUGAAAGACAGAGGAAUUGGUACAAUAAUAAAGACAGCCAGAUACCAAUGCAACCCUUCACCAUAGGCAAAACGGUCUACAAACAAGAAAUUAUGAAAAAUACAACACUAAUUCUUGAACAUCAUUUGCAGUAAUUAAAUCCUUCUUCGUCUACUGCUGUGAUUGCCUUUCUUUGACUUUCUUCUUCGCCUCUUCUCAUGUUGGUUUUCAACCAAAUUCACCAACCAUUUUGGCUUACCAGUUUGGAAAACAACAUAUCCCACGGACAUUCCGAACACUACUCCGCAUCCAUAACCUAUCAACACCACUUUCCAACCAAAAGCAAUGUUUGAUUUUGAGCCAUCUUUUUCAAGCACAUUUGGAGGUGCUGGAUCAAUGAUGUUGCAACCUUUCGAGACCGGAAACCCACACAGUCCCUUAUUUCCUUCAUAUGAAUCAUUUCCAAAUGUGUUGAAUUGUUUGCCUUGAGGAAUCUGACCAUGGAGUUGAUUUUCAGAAACAUUGAAGGACGAAAGAAAUGGCAGAUCUGCCAAUCUAUUUGGAAUCGUCCCAGACAACCUGUUUGAAGAUAGGUCCAACCAUUCAAGACUUGUCAAAUUCCCUAUUGAGGUGGGGAUAUCACCAAUAAGGUUAUUAUGAGAAAGGUUGAGCCCUUUCAGUAAGUUAAGCUUCCCAAUAACCUUUGGAAUACCCCUUUCAAACUGAUUGUUUGAUAGAUCAAUGAUCAUCCACAUGGUGAAAAUUUUCACCAAUUCCCUAUCUUGUCCUUUCAUAACAAUUCCAAUGGAAUAGGUAUAGAAGCCAACUCCAUAAUCAUGCACCCCCAUGUAUGACACUGUACUACCAAUCUUCUCUAGAUUUAUGAUAGCCUUGAAGCUGUUGAUGUAUCUCACUGGUAGGGGUCCAGAAAAAUAAUUACUUGAGAGAUCAAAAAUUUGGAUUUUAGAGAAAAAAGGGAUAGACUUGGAGCUAUUGACACAUAAGGAACCAUGCAGUUGAUUUGACUUCAAUACAAGAACUUGUAGCUGUGGAAGACUUCCCAACCAGUGAGGAAAUGUAUCAUUGAUCUUGUUGUUACCAAGAUCUAGCACUUCCAGACCUCUACAAUUAAGGAUGGAUGGUGUCAAAGGCCCUUCUAACAGAUUUCCAUUUAAGUUGAAAUUACUCAAUCGGCAUCCCUUUGCAAAUGCUGGAGGAAUCGUCCCAUAAUACUUGUUCUUCUUCAGAUUCAAGAAUAGAAGGCUGUUGCUCAAAUUUCCAAAACAUUGUGGAAUUGUUCCACUCAAGUUAUUGUGGGACAAAUCAAGAAUUUCAAGAAAAGCGGCAUUGCAUAUUAAAGAAGAGACCUCUCCAUUGAAACUAUUAUUUGAGAUCAAAAAGACUCUUAUGGUCGAAGCUGGAAUCGGAAGAUUUCCACUGAUCAAAUUGGAGCUUAAGUCAAGAACAUCAAUAUUCUUCCAUGGAAAGUGCUCAACUUCUGUCAAAGUGUUGUGAGAUACAUUUAAGUGAGUCAAAGAGCCAUUCCCCACCUCUCGCAUCCACUGUGGAAUCUUGCCUUCAAUUUUGUUGCAAGAGAGGUGUUGAAGUAAUGGUCAGCAUGCAGCAACCAAGACUGUCAAAGGCACUACAUGCAGAAGCUGCUGGUUCACCUAGUCAGCAAGCUGUUUAUGUUUCAUUUUGUAAUUUUAAGUUAGAGUAAUGUAACUUAGUUGCUUUAUAACUAUGUUAGGUUUAUGUUUGAUGUAAUUUUGAUGUUGACUGAGCUGAUAAAUCAGCUUUGUUUGUUUAUUCAAGCUAAUUAGCACAAGUUACUAUGUGUAUUAGUGGUAGUAGGUGAAGUUUAGGUCAACCUACUGUUUUGUCAAGAUUGUAAACUUGUUUUAUGUAUUGGCUUUGUGCCAUAUUUAGUUUGAUGAAUGAAUUCAAGAAGUUAUCAUCCAUAUGCUCUCCAUUUUUAGUUUUGCUUAAAAAUCCAUUUGAGUUUUCUGCUUUGUUUCUCCUACAAGUCACGAGACUUGCCAUACAAGCAUUCUGCUGAAGCUUGCUGCUGCUGCCUCUUGCACCAACAAUUGGUAUCUAGAGCCACAUUCUUAGAGGACCUGUUGUAGUUCAGUAUCAAAACGAUGGCAUCAUCAGGUUUUUCACCAGCUUCACCACCUGUCUUCAAUGGAGAGGGCUUCAACAUUUGGGCAGUUAAGAUGAGGACUUACCUGCAGGCAUUCGACCUAUGGGAAGUUGUUAACUCAGAUGCUGAGCCAGCACCUCUUCGAGCUAAUCCAACAGUUGCUCAAAUAAGGCAACACACUGAUGAAAGGACAAAAAGGCACAAGGCCAUGUCAUGCAUACAGAAUUGUGUGACAGAUGUGAUCUUUAUGAGGAUCAUGGCCUGUGAGACACCAAAGGAGGCUUGGGACAAGCUGAAAGAAGAAUUUCAGGGGACUGAGAAAACAAGGCAACAACAGCUGCUCAAUUUGAGAAGAGAUUUCGAAAAUCUCAAAAUGAAAGAGGAAGAAACAGUUAAGCAGUACUCAGACCGGAUUAUGGCUGUUGUAAACAGCAUAAGGCUCCUAGGAGAGCAAUUCAGUGAAGCUAGAAUGGUUGAGAAAGUCAUGUCCACUCUACCAGAGAGGUAUGAAGCUAAAAUUUCAUCCCUCGAAGACUCAAGGGACUUGACAACUAUCUCCUUAACUGAGCUAAUCAAUGCCUUGUAUGCAUAAGAGCAAAGAAGAGCUAGCAGACAAGAGGAGCACCAGGAAGGGGCUUUUCAAGCCAAAGAAGCCUCGAGCAUCAAAACUCAUAAAGGCAAAAAGUUCUGGAAAAACAAGCCUAAGCCUGAUGCUGCUAGGAGCAGUGACCAACUCUGCAGACAUUGUAAAAGAGCUGGUCAUCCAGAAGAUAGAUGCUGGUUUAGACCAGAUGCAGUAUGCCAAAACUGCAAGAAAAAAGGCCAUGUUGAAAAAGUUUGCAAGAAUAGAAGCAAACCAAGACAGAAUCAAUUUCAGCAACAAAAGGUGGAAGCUCGAGUAGCUGAAGAAAGUAGUGAUCAAGAAGAACAUGUUUUUGCUGUGUCAUGUGCAGCAAAUCAGAAGAAGGGUUCAAAGGGCUGGCUUCUAGACAGUGGGUGCACAAACCACAUGUCACCAGAUGCAACUAUCUUCAAAACCCUGGACAGAACCUGCAAAACCAAAGUAAAAAUUGGAAAUGGUCAGUUAAUCAAUGCUGAAGGAAGAGGAGAUGUGCUGAUUCAUACUUCUACAGGUGGCAAAAUCAUUUCAAAUGUACUUUUGGUACCUGAAAUCGAUAGGAACCUUCUCAGUAUAACUCAACUACUUGAGAAAGGUUACUCAGUUGUUUUCAAGGAGAAAGAAUGUCAAAUUUUUGAUCCAAGUGGAUCAAAUCUUAUAACAGUCACCAUGACUGAUAAAUGUUUUGAAGUAGACUGGCCAAAUGACUCACAUUCAGCCUGCAUAGCCUCCACUAAUGACUCGAGACUCUGGCAUCAGAGGCUUGGACAUGCAAACUACAAAUCCAUAGCCCGCAUGGUCAAUGAAGGUCUGGCAGAAAAUUUCAUUGAUUCAGUGAAGAAUGAUGAGCUUUGUGAGAUAUGUCAGCAAGGAAAAUUGGCAAGAUUGCCAUUUCCAACAAGCACAACAUGGAGAGCAUCAGAGAAGCUCCAGCUUGUGCAUACAGAUGUGUGUGGACCAAUGAAGACUGAGUCUCUCAAAGGAAGCAGGUACUUUAUUUUAUUUAUUGAUGACUUAACAAGAUACUGCUGGAUUUAUUUUCUAAAACAGAAAUCAGAAGUACCAUCUAUGUUCCUGAAGUAUAAGGCUGCUGUUGAAACUGAGUCUGGUUGCAAACUUAGAGCAAUGAGGUCAGAUAAUGGAACUGAGUACACCUCAGCUCAGUUCCAAGUCUACUGUGAAGAAGCAGGUAUCAAACACCAGUUGACUAAUGUGUAUACACCCCAACAGAAUGGGGUCAGUGAAAGGAAAAACAGAAGCUUGAUGAACAUGGCAAGAUGUCUUCUGUUUGAGAAGAAUUUGCCCAAAAGUCUGUGGGCUGAAGCUGUUAACACAGCAGUUUAUCUCUAAAAUAGGCUCCCAACCAAGGCUCUGGCUGAGAAGACUCCAUUUGAAGCCUGGUUUGGGUUUAAGCCAUCACUGGCUCAUCUCAGAACCUUUGGUUGUCUGUGCUAUACUCAAGUUCCAGCUGAGAAGAGAAGCAAGCUAGACAAAAGAGCUCAAGCAGGGAUCCUGAUCGGCUACAGCUUGGUUAAGAAGGGCUACAGAAUUCUAGAACCUGCUACAAACAAGAUAUUGGUUAGCAGGGAUGUUGUUUUCAAUGAAAAAGGACACUGGAAUUGGGAGAAGGCUGAACCAGAGGCAGUGGCUGAAGAUCUGGCAGUGGACCAAGUUGAAAAUGGUGAAAACACACCUGAAAUGGAUGUAGAUGAUGUUCCAAUCAGAGGCACUCGAUCACUGGCUGAUGUUUAUGAAAGAGCACAAGUGGCUACUGUUGAACCAAAUUGCUUUGAAGAAGCAGAAAACCAGGAGGACUGGAAGCAAGCAAUGAUUGAAGAAAUCAGAAUGAUUGAAAAGAAUCAGACCUGGAGUCUGGUUGAUAAACCAACAAACAGGAAGAUUAUUGGUGUCAAAUGGGUUUAUCGAGUAAAGAACAAUGCUGAUGGUAGCCUAAACAAGUUAAAGGCUAGAUUGGUUGUGAAAGGCUUCAGUCAAAGGUAUGGAUCAGACUACCUGGAAACCUUUGCACCAGUGGCCAGGUUAGACACUAUUAGACUGCUAGUUGCCUUAGCAGCACAAAAACAGUGGCUGAUACACCAACUUGAUGUAAAAUCAGCAUUUCUGAAUGGAUUCCUUGAAGAGGAGAUUUAUGUGGAGCAACCUCAAGGUUUCAAGGUGUCUGGCAAAGAAGAUAUGGUGUACAAGCUCAACAAAGCCUUGUAUGGCUUGAAACAGGCUCCAAGGGCCUGGUAUAGCAGAAUAGAUGGCUAUCUGACCAGUCAAGGAUUUGAAAGAAGUCUUAGCGAGCCAACUCUGUAUGUUAAAUCAACUAGUGCUGAAACUCAGCUCAUUGUCUCAAUAUAUGUCGAUGACCUACUGGUGACAGGAGGAGAUCAUGAGAUGCUAAGCAGUUUUAAAGUCAAAAUGCAACAGCACUUUGAAAUGUCAGACUUGGGAUUGAUGUCUUACUUCUUAGGCAUGGAAGUAACUCAAGCUAAGAAUGGGAUUUGGCUAAGUCAAAAGACCUUUGCUAUGAAGGUUCUCAACAAAUUCUCAAUGGAGAAUUGCAAAGCAACCAGCACACCAGUUGCUGUUGGAGAAAAACUCUCGAGCCAAGACAAGCAUGAAAAGGUUUGUGAAACAACCUAUCGAAGUCUAGUUAGAUGUUUGUUGUAUUUGACUGCUACUAGACCUGACAUAAUGUAUGCUGUGAGUCUACUCUCGAGGUUUAUGCAUUCUUCAAAUGAAAGUCAUUUUAGAGCUGCAAAAAGGGUUCUAAGAUACAUCAAAGGAACUUUGUCCUAUGGAAUGCAGUUUACCAAGGCUGAGAACUUGAGGCUAGUUGGAUAUUGUGACAGUGAUUGGGCUGGUUCUUUGGAUGACAUGAAGAGCACUACAGGUUAUGCAUUCAACAUAGGCUCUGCUAUGAUAUGCUGGAGCUCAAAGAAGCAAGGAGUAGUGGCUCAGUCGACUGCAGAAGCAGAAUAUGUGGCUGCUGCUGCAGCAGUCAAUCAAGCCAUAUGGCUUAGAAAAAUUUUGAAAGAUAUCAAUCAUGAGCAAAAGGAAGCAACUGAGAUAAUGUCUGACAACCAAUCAGCAGUUGCUAUUGCAAAGAAUCCUGUUUUUCAUGGAAGGACCAAGCACUUCAACAUCAAACUUCAUGCAGUUCGGGAAAUGGAACAAGCUCAUGUUGUUAAGCUGAUACAUUGCAGUUCUGAAGAGCAAAUUACUGAUAUUUUAACAAAAGCACUAAGUGUUUCCAAGUUUCAACACCUGAGAGCUAAUAUGGGAGUUUGCAACAUGCUAACCAAGGAGGAGUGUUGAAGUAAUGGUCAGCAUGCAGCAACCAAGACUGUCAAAGGCACUACAUGCAGAAGCUGCUGGUUCACCUAGUCAGCAAGCUGUUUAUGUUUCAUUUUGUAAUUUUAAGUUAGAGUAAUGUAACUUAGUUGCUUUAUAACUAUGUUAGGUUUAUGUUUGAUGUAAUUUUGAUGUUGACUGAGCUGAUAAAUCAGCUUUGUUUGUUUAUUCAAGCUAAUUAGCACAAGUUACUAUGUGUAUUAGUGGUAGUAGGUGAAGUUUAGGUCAACCUACUGUUUUGUCAAGAUUGUAAACUUGUUUUAUGUAUUGGCUUUGUGCCAUAUUUAGUUUGAUGAAUGAAUUCAAGAAGUUAUCAUCCAUAUGCUCUCCAUUUUUAGUUUUGCUUAAAAAUCCAUUUGAGUUUUCUGCUUUGUUUCUCCUACAAGUCACGAGACUUGCCAUACAAGCAUUCUGCUGAAGCUUGCUGCUGCUGCCUCUUGCACCAACAAGAGGUCUAAGCUUUCCAAACUUUUAAGCCCUUUUAAAAAUUGGGGGAAUUCACUAAGAUUGCAAGAUGACAAAAAUAAGCUUGUAAGAUUAACAGUAGAAGUUGUAUUAGAUGUUAAGGAUAGGCUGUUAUAUGAAAGGUCAAGAUAUUCGAGAUUUGGAAGGUUUGAGAACAUGCGAAACUCUAUGACACCACUAAGAUAAUUUGAGGAUAAGCUAAGUUGGGUAAGAUUGAGAAGUUGGAAUAUUGAAGAUGGAAGAGGACCUUGGAGUUUAUUAUUCUCUAACCAUAUCCAUUCUAGUGAUUUGGAUUGGAAUUCUUUGAUAUGCCCACUGAAUUGAUUUUGAGAGAGAUAUAUUGUCUUUAAGGAGGGAGCAAUAUACAACCAUGACGGAAGUGUUCCAUUGAGUAAAUUGUCAGAUAAGUCUAAAUAUAUUAGAUUAUGAAAAGCGGUUACCUCAUCUGGAAUGGAACCUUCUAAAGAAUUGUUAGAUAUUGUCAAGUAUUCCAGCUGCGUUAGGUUUAGAAUUGACAAUGGAAUUUGUCCACUCAAUUUGUUCCAUCCCAAGUCUAAAACAGUGAGUUGCAAGAGGUUCCCCAAUGAUCUUGGAAUCUGUCCACUCAAUUGGUUCAGCCACAAGUCUAAAUGAGUGAGUUGCAAGAGGUUCCCUAAUGAUCUUGGAAUUUGUCCACUCAAUUGGUUCUUCGACAAGUCUAAAUGAGUGAGUUGCAAGAGGUUCCCCAAUUUUCUUGGAAUUUGUCCACUCAAUUGGUUCUCCGACAAGUCUAAAUGAGUGAGUUUCAAGAGAUUCCCCAGUGAUCUUGGAACCAGUCCUGAUAAGUUGGAAUGGGAGAGAACUAAAAACUUCAAGGACACAAGAUUCCCCAUCGAGUCAGGCAAUCCUCCACAAAUAUUUGCGUCUGAAAUUAUCAAUUGUUCAAGAUUGCUGCUCCGAUUGAACUUCAAAGGAUCAAGAUUGAGGUUUUGGUUGCCUCCCAAGUUGAGGAGAUUGAGGUUUGGCAAAUCAAAAAUGUUUUUUGGGAAUUUUCCUUGCAAAUCACAACCAACAAGACUGAGAGACCUUAGAGAAGAGGAUAGAUUCAUGAAGACAUGAGCAUUAACUGAAGACAUGUCCAUUUCAUCCAAAAACAGACGUCUGACCUCGGUUAGGUUGUGAACAAGACCCUCCAGAGCAUAUUUGUCAAUUGUUAAUAGUUCAUCAAACCCAGAAAGAUCAAGUGAAACCAAUUUUGACAGGUGGGAGACUUGGGAUGGGACUUCUGAAAACCAUGUAUUGGAAAGGUUGAGGUAGAAUAGGCUUGUAAACCGACCGAACUCGGAUGGAAUUUUGGAAGAAUUAAAAUCAUUGUAGGCAAGGUUGAGUUUUUGAAGGUGAGGAAGAAGGAAGAGAGUGGUAUUGGAAGGGAAGGUGCCAUAUAGCCAACUGCAGCUCAAGUCAAGGGCAAUAACAUGAGCAUUUAGGUGGUCACAAGUGACCCCAUCCCAUGAGCAGCAAUCUGUACCCUCCUUCCAUGAAUUUGUCUUGGGAUAAGAUUUAAGGCCAGCAAAAUAAUCGCAAUGAUCAAAAGAAGCAUCCUCUCUUAUGGAAAAGGAGUCCUUAAACUGGAUUAGUGAAGAGCAGGAGUGAGAUCCUGAAGAAGAAAAAGAAGCAUAAAGAUGGAGAAAGAAGAGGAAUAGGGAGAGAAAGAGAUAGGAGGCCAUGUUAUGUUGGUAGAGGAAGAUGAAGGAUAGGAAUGGUAUUUAUAGGCAACAAAUAAUACCACAACAUUGGUGUUACAGUCUUUUUUCUUUUACAUUGAAAAGCUAUGGAUAUUAGAUUUUCAAAAUUUUUGUAUUUUUCACAAUCAUCAACAACCACUUUGUCUUCAUUUUACCAUAUAUUUUUCAUUCUUAAAAUUGGAUUAUUUUCUUUUAGCAAAAUCUUGUAUUUCAUUUGAACUCCCUAAACAACUAAAAAAUUAAGAUUGAUAAAAUUACAAAGUAGAUUGACUUAGUCUUCUUCCUUGUAACACGUAAAGAAUUUCCACGCAAAAGAACAAAAUUGUGCUCUAUUCUUUACGUUUGAGGAAGAAGACUGCUGGAAUUUUAAUCCACUGAUUCCAUAAAAACGUGUAUACUUAUAUAUAUAUAUAUUUAUAACCUCAUAAUUUAAAUCUAAAAUCUCAUUUGUUAUAAAUUCUGAUAAAUUUAUUUGGGAAUUGCUAUUUUUCAUUCGUUAAUUAUUUCUCUUUUAAUCGAGUAAAAAAUUAAAACUAAAGACAUAAUGAUUUAUUUGGUAUUUUUUAACUUCGCAAACGAAAAAUUAUUUUAGCUUUCUAUUUUUUUUUAUCUCUUUUAGUCUUGAAAUUUAUAUGGUUCAUUAAAUCACCCAAAAAAAUGAUGAAAAAAAUAACAAAACUAGCACCUACGUGGCUGAUGUUGACCCUUAAUAGUUAAUGGCAACACCUAUGUAGUUGUUAACAGAUACCACACCAACACUGUUUGUUGACGUGACAAUGCCACAUGAUCAAUAAUCGCAGACAUGGUAGCGCCACGCCAUCGCCCAUUGAUGACAUAUUAACCUUUGAGUUAAACUCAAAUAAUUUGGUCCCAAAUAGUUUUCAACACAAAAGAAUAGAGGAAGAAGACUGCUACAGGUUUAACUAUCAAUUGUCUAUUGACUAUACUUUUAACUCCACUAAAAAAGACCAAGACUAAGACUAUCAAUUGUCUAUUGACUACACUUUAACUCGACAAAAAAAGACCAAGACUAAGACUAUCAAUUGUCUAUUGGCUUCACACUUGCUGUUGCUUCCUCCUAUUUCUCUCACCCAAACUUAAUUUACAAGCAAUGUGGAAAUUUUGGACAUUUGCCCACAACGUACAAUACUUCCACACCAUUUGCAGUAUUGACUACGUUUACUUGAGGGAAAACAAAGACAUGAACGCUGGAAAUUUUAACUAGUUUGUACCGUCAAUGAAGCUACGUACCUAAAAGCCAUUUAGGAUAUCAAUUCCUGUAAUUGGAGUAAUCUCAUCGUUGCUGCAAUCUUUUGACAGUUUAAUCGAAUCUUAAAUAUGUUACUCUGCAAUGCUAUUGUAAAUAUUUUUCUUAAAUUUGUCGAUAGAUUUAUAGGUUUGGCACAAAAUUAAGAAUACACAAAGGCAGGUUGAAUUAUUCCAUGUUUGAACAUCUGCAACAUAAAUGCAUAUGGCAAAAGGGCUCAAACCAUACCUUAUGUUCAUGAAUUCUCAUCAUCACGUGUUUAUAAAUGCAACUCAAACUUCAAUAAUUGAAUCUUUUGUAAUUCUACAUGUAUUUUUUUAUUAUGGCGAGCAGUAUAAUGUUUACUAAAAAUUGAAAUUCAAGAAAGAAGACAUAUAUAGUUGCACCAUACAAGAUGUUACACUCGAACUAAACGCUUACAAAUAGUACGAAAUGCAAUUGAAUACAGAGGAAUUGGUACAAUCAUAAAAACAGACACAUACCAAUGCAACUUUUCACCAUAGGAAAAACUUUCUGACAGACUACUAAACAAGAAAUUAUGAAGACACAGUAGAAAUGCUUUAACUUCAUUUGCACCAACUAGAUCAUUCUUCAUCCACUCAUGCGAUUGCUAUAUUUUGGCUUUCUUCUUCGCCUCUUCUCAUGUUGGUCUUCAACCAAAUUCACGAACCUUUUCACCUUAUCGGUUUGGAAAACAACACAUCCCAUGGCCAUUCCAAACACUACCCCGGAUCCAUAACCUAUCAACACCACUUUCCAACCAAAAGCAAUGUUUGCUUUUGAGCCAUCCUUUUCCAGCACAUUUGGAGGUGGUGUCUCAUUGAUGCUGCAACCUUUGGAGACUGGAAAUCCACAUAGUCUCUGUUUCCUUCGUAUGAAUUGUUUCCAAAUGUAUUGAACUGUUUGCCUUGAGGAAUCUGACCAUGGAGUUGAUUUUCGGAAACGUUUAAUAAGGAAAGAAAUGCCGGAUCUGCCAAUAUCUCUGGAAUUAACUCAGUUCAAAAGACUAUAUAACUCGUAAAGUUUGGUCGAAGACUAGCAGGGGUCAAGAAAAAUAAUUACUUGAAUUGUCAAAAUUUUGGAUUUUAGAGAAACAAGCACUAGACUUGGAGCUAUGGUCAUGCAAGGAACCAUGCAUUUCAUUUGACUUUAGUACAAGAACUUGUAGCCGUGGAAGACUUCCCUACCAAUGAGGAAAUGUAUCAUUGAUCUUGUUGUUCCUAAGAUCUAGCACUUCCAAAGACCUAAAAUUGAGGAUGGAUGGUGACAAAUGCCAUUCAAAUUGAUUUCCAUUUAAGUUGAGAUUACUCAAUUGGCAUCCCUUUGCAAAUGUUGGAGGAAUCAAUCCAUAAAACUUGUUCUUCUUUAGAUUCAAAAAUUCCAGGUUGUUGCUCAAAUUUCCAAAACAUUGUAGAAUAGUUCCACUCAAUUUAUUGUGGGACAAGUCAAGAAUUUGGAGAGCACUCACAUUGCCUAUCAAAGAAGAGACCUCUCCACUUAAACUAUUGUUUGAAGUAAAAAACACGUUGAUUGUCGAAGAUGGGAUUGGAAGAUUUCCAUGGAUCAAAUUGGAGCUUAAGUCAAGAAUAUUAAUAUUCUUCCAUGGAAGUUGCUCAACUUCUGUCAAUGAAUUGUGAGAUAAAUUUAAGUAACUCAAAGAGUCACACGUCACUUCUUGCAGCCAUUGUGGAAUCUUCCCUUCAAUUCUAUUGUUAGAAAGCUCCAAAGUUUUCAACUUUUUUAACCCUUUCAAAAAUCGGGGGAAUUGGCUGACAUUAUUUGAGCUUAAGGAUAGGCUGUUUAGUGAAAGGUCAAGAUAUUCGAGAUUUGGGAGAUUUGAGAACAUGCCAAACUCUAUGACACCACUGAAAUUAUUUGAGUAUAAAAGGAGCCAGGUAAGGUUGAGAAAUUGGAAUAUUGAAGAUGGAAGAGGACCUUGGAGAUUAUUAUUCCCUAACACUAUCAUUCUAGUGAUUUGGAUUGGAAUUCUUUGAUGUGUCCACUGAAUUGAUUCUGAGAGAGAGAUAUUUCCAUUAAGGAGAAAGCAUUAUACAACCAUGACAGAAGUUUUCCAUUGGGUAAAUUGUUAGAUAAGUCUAAAGAUAUUAGAUUAGGGAAAGCAGCUACCUCAUCUGGAAUGGGACCUUCUAAAGAAUUUUCAGCUAUUCUCAAGUGUUCAAGCUGUGUUAGGUUUACAAUUGACAAUGGAACUUGUUCACUCAAUUGGUUCCAUGACAAGUCUAAAUAUAUGAGCCACAAGAGGUUCCCCAGAGAUCUCGAAAUUGAUCCCUGUAAAUUGGAAUUAGAGAGAGACAAAUAUUUCAAGACGUGCAGGUUGUCAAUCAAAUCAAUCAAUUUUGAAAAGGAGGACAUCCAUGACAGAUCCAAAUGUUCAAGAUUACUGCUCUGAUUGAACUUCAGAAGAUCAAGAAUCAGGUUUCGGUUGUAUCCUAAGUUGAGCAAAUUGAGGUUUGGCGAAUGAAGAACGUUUCUUGAGAAUUUUCCUUGCAAAUCACAACCACCAAGACUGAGAGACUUUAUAGAAGAGGAUAGAUUGAUGAAAACAUUAGGAUUAAUAGAAGGCAUGAUAAUUCUAUCAAGAAAAAGAUGUCUCACCUCAGUUAGGUUGUGAACAAGUCCCUUCAAAGAAUUUUAUCAAGUGUUAAUUGGUCAGAAAAAACAUUAUGAGAGAGAUCAAGUGAAACCAAUUUUGACGAGUGGGAGAUUUGGGAUGGGACUUUUCCUGCAAAUAACGUUUCUGAGAUGUUAAGAUACACCAGGCUUGUAAACCGGCCGAACUCGGAUGGAAUUUUGGAAAGAUUAAAAUCAUUGUAGGCAAGGUUGAAUUUUUGAAGGUGAGGAAGAAGGAAGAGAGUGGUAUUGGAAGGGAAGUUGCCAUAUAGACAACUGCAGCUCAAGUCAAGGGCAAUAUAUAACUUGAGCAUUUAGGUGGUCACAAGUGACCCCAUCCCAUGAGCAGCAAUCUGUACCCUCAUUCCAUGAAUUUGUCCUGGGAUAAGAUUUAUGGCCAUCAAUCUCAUUGCUAUAAGAAGAAGCAUACUCUGUUAUGGAAAAAGAGUCCUUAAACUGGAUUAGUGAAGAGCAGGAGUGAGAUCCUGAAGAAGAAAAAGAAGCAUAAAGAUGGGGAAAGGUUAAGGUAGAAUAGGCUUGUAAACCGACCGAACUCGGAUGAAAUUUUGGAAAGAUUAAAAUCAUUGAAGGCAAGGUUGAGUUUUUGAAGGUGAGGAAGAAGGAAGAGAGUGGUAUUGGAAGGGAAGUUGCCAUAUAGCCAACUGCAGCUCAAGUCAAGGGCAAUAACUUGAGCAUUAAGGUGAUGACAAGUGACCCCACACCAUGAGCAGCAAUCUGUACCCUCCUUCCAUGAAUUUGUCUUGGGAUAAGAUUUAAGGCCGGCAAAAUCAUCGCAACACAAAGCAGCAUGGCCUGUCUGAGUGAUCGAAAAUGAAUUCUUGAACUGGAUUAGAGAAGCAGCUUCGUGGUGAGAGCAGGAGUGAGAUCCUGAAGAAGAAGAAGCAUAAAGAUGGGGAAAGAAGAGGAAUAGGCAGAGAGAGAGAUAGGGGCCAUGUUAUGUUUGUAGAGGAAGAUGAAGGAUAGGAAUGGUAUUUAUAGGCAACAAAUAGAAUCCAAUAUUAAACAAAAGAUUUGAUGAUUAAUACCACAACACCACUGUUACAGUGUUGUUUCUUUUAUGGUAUAAAGAUUGUUAUUGGAAGAGUUUGAAAUGCUGACAUUGAAAACCUAUAUUUUUCAAUACUCAUCAACAACCACUUCCUUUUUACCAUAUCUUUUUCAUUCCCAAAAUUGGAUACAUUGUUUUACCAAAAUUUUGUAUUUCAUUUGAACUCCCUAAACAACUGAGAAAAUUAACAUUGAUGAGAUUACAAAGUAGAUUGACUUAGUCUUCUUCCUUAUAAUAGGUAAAAAAAAAAUGUGAGUGUCUAUUCACUUAUAAUAUUUCCAUGCUAGAGGUAGUUUUUGGAAAAUCUUUAAUUAAAUCUUAAUUUCAUUUUGUUAAAAUUUUAAACUGGGUUAUCGAAUUGGCUUCUGAUUGUAGGUUGAUCAAUGAUGGGCCGAUUUCUUCUUCUUCUUUUUUAAUUUUUUUAGGGUUAAUUUAUAAUAUACUGCUUAAUGUUGUUGAUUUAUUUUUCUGGUCAUCGUUUCAUCCGUUUGUUGAAGAUAACUGAAUUUUUAUUGGUUGUAAUUGGACUUGGGUUUUAGCCAAUGACUAUAAUCAAAGGGUUAAUUUAAGGUUCCAAUGAAUUGUUUGAAAAUUUUAUUAUUUUUCUUUUCAAUUAGUUGUUUUACAAGGAUUUAACUUAUAUUAGUCAAAUGAACUGGCUUUAAAAAAUGAACAAGAACGAAGAAAUUGGAUGGUUAACUGGACACUGGAAAGGGGGAAUGCUAAAAGUUGUAAAUGUUUUGAAUAUAGAGUUGUAUUCUUUUCAUGGCUUCAGAAAAAUGUAUGCAAUGUUUGGCCAGCGAUAAUGGACAAGUUUUUUUAAACCUCCAUGCCUUAGUCAUGCUUUCAUAAACAUGGGCAGCUAACACCGAGAAGUCUCAUUGAAUGUAGUAAGCGAUUUAAAAGUGAAGCUCAUAUGCGACCGGGGAUGGUUGAUUUGAGGUUUAAUUCUAGCUAGUAGAUUCUGUUGUUUGUUAAGCGUCUUUUUGGAGACAAAUGUCUGAGAUUGCUGGAAAAUGCUUCUUACCAUCAUAUUAAUGUGUAUUUGGGUUGCGUUUUCUUAGAGUUUUGGAUUCUUUGCAUCAUAUCAUAAAAUUGAGUUAGAUAUAACAUCUCAUUGUUAUCUGUUAAUUGUUUCACUUGGGACCAGGAGCAUGCUGGCAACUCAAUACAGCUGUAAAUGCAUAUUUCAGUGAGGGUGAUAGGUAUAUAUUUAUGAAUUAUCCUAAUAUUUUUUAUGAUAAGUAAUUCUAGGUUUAUAGCUUUAUUUGUUUGUUUGUUUUCUCGUGUUUCCUACAAAAAAAGGCCAACAUCAACCAUAGUUCCUGUAGAUGAUGCCAUGGAUAUAGAUGAUCCAAAUGAAGUAGUACCAAAUGGGCCAGUCCUUCCAUUUCUACCAUCAUCUAGAACAAACGAACAAUCGUCUCUUUUUCUGAAAUUUCCGGCGCGACGCCUGUGCGGGGGGCCUUGGCCGGAAUCUGGACUUAGUCCAGAGAGUUUUUUUUUCUUUCUUCUGUUUUUUUUUUUCAAUGUUCAAAUGAUUUUUUUUCUCAAAACACUAAUUUUUAUGCCCAGUGAAACGGCGCCGUUUUGGCUAAGCUCCAAAACACCCAAAACGACGUCGUUUCACUCGCCACCAACUUGAAUUUUAUAACUACUCCUAUGCCAACCAGCAAACCAUAACAGCGUACAUAAAAAAGAGGAUGCUGACUUACAAUUCCUUUCAUUUCACCAUAACCAAUCAAAUCCCUUGCAAUGCUGUUUGGAUCACAGCAGCUCAUCUUUCAAUCCUAGAUGGCUCCGCUAAUUUUUUGAAAGCAUACAUAAACUGUUAAAGAAAUAAAUGGAUAAAACAACUACAGGAUAGAAGGCUGAAAAAUUACAAAGUGCAAUGACCUUAUUGUUAAAAUUUCAACGCCCAUUCCUUGGAAAGAUAUCUUCACCAUUGCCCACUCAAGAGAACUCAAAUAGCAGCAAGAUCUAGUAUAAAAUGUAACUCUCAACAACACACACAAAUGUUUGUUCUAUCAAGGAGCAAUACACAGACAUAUUCACCUACCCUUGGUUCUAGCUUUGCAUAUUACAUAACACUCUUCAAAUGUCUUAUUAAAUUCUCACUUUUACGAGUGCUAUGAUAAUCAAAUAAAAUUCAAUUCAAUUUUAAGUUCCAUAUAACACUUACAUGGCUACAAAAUGUGUGUGUGUUUAAGUGUCGACAACCACAAACAAUCCAAAUUUGCAGAGAAACCACCCAUUAUAUAUAGGUUUGCCAAUGAGAUGGCAAGCAGAUUGCUAGCUAGAAAUUCAUGCAUCUUUGAAUCACCAGUUCAAUUAAUAAGCUUAAGUAGAGGAAAUAGGGACUUUACAUCCACCAAUUAAAGCAACCUAUAUGUACCCUUUUACAGUCUGCAUUGUUCCAUGUUUCAAUUCAUUACAUCAUUCCUUCAACUCUGCUAUAUAUUAUUACCGUCUCCAGAUAACCAAACCUUUUACUGCUAACUUGUAAAAAAAUUAUGAAAAUACAACAGAGAUCAUUGAGACAUUGUUGAAGUUGGCUUGCAUGCAGAGCAAGAAGCAGACCAAGCUGUCCGAGCCAUGCAAGUUGCAGCUGAAGCUUAUGCUGCUGUUUUGUUACUUUCAAAUAGAUAUUUUAUUACUUAGUUAGAUAUGAACUAAGUUGUUGAUAUGCUUGAUGUGAUUAGGUGCUGAUAGAUUGAUAAAUCAGCUUUACCAAGUGUACAAGCAAUGUUUAUCAAGUUACUAAGCCACUUAGUGGAGUUAGGCACGUGUUUAGGUAACAUUUUCUUAUUUUUGACCAGCUGAUUGCUCGGUAUAUGUAAUGGAAUUGUGCCUUCAUUUGGUCUUUACUUAAGCAUUUUUAUUCAAAAAGCUCUUGCUGUUUUUGUUUUGUUUGUUGUGCAAGAUAUCAAUGCUUUAUGCUUAAGUUUCUGUCAAAAUUUCUCAUUCUGUUUUCUUAGUUCCUACAGACAUUUUGUUCUCCUUUCUCCUUUACUGAGCAGUAGCAAAGAUUAUUGAGACUAAAUUGAAAUCCAUGAAAGAAGACAUAAACAACACCACCAUACAAAAUGUCACACUCAAACAAACCAUUACAGAUAGUACGAAAUGCAAUGAAAGACAGAGGAAUUGGUACAAUAAUAAAGACAGCCAGAUACCAAUGCAACCCUUCACCAUAGGCACAACGGUCUACAAACAAGAAAUUAUGAAAAAUACAACACUAAUUCUUGAACAUCAUUUGCAGUAAUUAGAUCCUUCUUCGUCUACUGCUGCGAUUGCCUUUCUUUGACUUUCUUCUUCGCCUCUUCUCAUGUUGGUUUUCAACCAAAUUCACCAACCAUUUUGGCUUUCCAGUUUGGAAAACAACAUAUCCCACGGACAUUCCGAACACUACUCCGCAUCCACAACCUAUCAUCACCACUUUCCAACCAAAAGCAAUGUUUGAUUUUGAGCCAUCUUUUUCAAGCACAUUUGGAGGUGGUGGGUCAAUGAUGUUGCAACCUUUCGAGACCGGAAACCCACACAGUCCCUUAUUUCCUUCAUAUGAAUCAUUUCCAAAUGUGUUGAAUUGUUUGCCUUGGGGAAUCUUACCAUGGAGUUGAUUUUCAGAAACAUUUAAGGACGAAAGAAACGGCAGAUCUGCCAAUCUAUUUGGAAUCGCCCCAGACAACCUGUUUGAAGAUAGGUCCAACCAUUCAAGACUUGUCAAAUUCCCUAUUGAUGUGGGGAUACCACCAUUAAGGUUAUUAUGAGAAAGGUUGAGCCCUUUCAGUAAGUUAAGCUUCCCAAUAACCUUUGGAAUACCCCCUUCAAACUGAUUGUUUGAUAGAUCAAUGAUCAUCCACAUGGUGAAAAUUUUCACCAAUUCCCUAUCUUGUCCUUUCAUAACAAUUCCAAUGGAAUAGGUAUAGAAGUCACCUCCAUCAUCAUUCACCCCCAUGUACGACACUGUACUACCAAUCUUCUCUAGAUUUAUGAUAGCCUUGAAGCUGUUGAUGUAUCUCACUGGUAGGGGUCCAGAAAAAUAAUUACUUGAGAGAUCAAAAAUUUGGAUUUUAGAGAAAAAAGGGAUAGACUUGGAGCUAUUGACACAUAAGGAACCAUGCAAUUGAUUUGACUUCAAUACAAGAACUUGUAGCCGUGGAAGACUUCCCAACCAAUGAGGAAAUGUAUCAUUGAUCUUGUUGUUACCAAGAUCUAGCACUUCCAGACCAUUACAAUUAAGGAUGGAUGGUGUCAAAGGCCCUUCUAACAGAUUUCCAUUUAAGUUGAAAUUACUCAAUUGGCAUCCCAUUGCAAAUGUUGGAGGAAUCGUCCCAUAGAACUUGUUCUUCUUCAGAUUCAAGAAUAGAAGGCUGUUGCUCAAAUUUCCAAAACAUUGUGGAAUUGUUCCACUCAAGUUAUUGUGGGACAAAUCAAGAAUUUCAAGAAAAGCGGCAUUGCAUAUUAAAGAAGAGACCUCUCCAUUGAAACUAUUAUUAGAGAUCAAAAAGACAUUGAUGGUCGAAGCUGGAAUCGGAAGAUUUCCACUGAUCAAAUUGGAGCUUAAGUCAAGAACGUCAAUAUUCUUCCAUGGAAAGUGCUCAACUUCUGUCAAAGAGUUGUGAGAUACGUUUAAGUAAGUCAAAGAGUCAUUCCCCACCUCUUGCAUCCACUGUGGAAUCUUGCCUUCAAUUUUGUUGUAAGAGAGGUCUAAGCUUUCCAAACUUUUAAGCCCUUUUAAAAAUUGGGGGAAUUCACUAAGAUUGCAAGAUGACAAAAACAACCUUGUAAGAUUAACAGUAGAAGUAGUAUUAGAUGUUAAGGAUAGGCUGUUAUAUGAAAGGUCAAGAGAUUCGAGAUUUGGAAGGUUUGAGAACAUGCGAAACUCUAUGACACCACUAAGAUAAUUUGAGGAUAAGCUAAGUUGGGUAAGAUUGAGAAGUUGGAAUAUUGAAGAUGGAAGAGGACCUUGGAGUUUAUUAUUCUCUAACGCUAUCCAUUCUAGUGAUUUGGAUUGGAAUUCUUUGAUAUGCCCACUGAAUUGAUUUUGAGAGAGUUUUAUAUCCUUUAAGGAGGGAGCAGUAUACAACCAUGAUGGAAGUUGUCCACUGAGUAAAUUGUUAGUUAAGUCUAAAGAUAUUAGAUUAGGAAAAGCGGUUACCUCAUCUGGAAUAGAACCUUUUAAUGUAUUUCCAGCUAUUCUCAAGUAUUCCAGCUGCGUUAGGUUUAGAAUUGACAAUGGAAUUUGUCCAUUCAAUUGGUUCUGCCACAAGCCUAAAUAAGUGAGUUGCAAGAGGUUCCCCAAUGAUCUUGGAAUUUGUCCACUCAAUUGGUUUUGCCACAAGCCUAAAUAAGUGAGUUGCAAGAGGUUCCCCAAUGAUCUUGGAAUUUGUCCACUCAACUGGUUCCCCGAUAAGUCUAAAUGAGUGAGUUGCAAGAGAUUCCCCAGUGAUUUUGGAACCGGUCCUGAUAAGUUGGAAUAGGAGAGAUCUAAAAACUUCAAGGACACAAGAUUACCCACCGAGUCUGGCAAUCCUCCAAAAAAAUUUGCGCCUGAAAUUAUCAAUUGCUCCAAAGAUGAUAAAUUUGUGAUUGAGACAGACAAUCCUUGAAAGAAAAAAUUUCCUGAUAGACCUAAGGACUUUAAGGCCUGUAGAUUAUCAACUGAAUCAAUGAAUUCUGUAGAGAAGGACGUCCAUGACAGAUCCAAAUGUUCAAGAUUGCUGCUCCGAUUCAACUUCAAAGGAUCAAGAUUGAGGUUUUGGUUGUUUCCCAAGUUGAGGAGAUUGAGGUUUGGCAAAUCAAAAAUGUUGUUUGGGAAUUUUCCUUGCAAAUCACAACCAGCAAGACUGAGAGACCUUAGAGAAGAGGAUAGAUUCAUGAAGACAUGAGCAUUAACAGAAGCCAUCUCCAUUCCAUCCAAAAACAGAUGUCUGACCUCGGUUAGGUUUUGAACAAGUCCCUCCAGAGCAUGUUUGUCUCCUACAAACCCUGUACUGGAAAGGUCGAGGUAGAGUAGGCUUGUAAACCGACCUAACUCGGAUGGAAUUUCGGAAAGAUUAAACUCAUUGUAGGCAAGGUUGAGUUUUUGAAGGUGAGGAAGAAGGAAGAGAGUGGAAUUGGAAGGGAAGUUGCCAUAUAGCCAACUGCAGCUCAAGUCAAGGGCAAUAACAUGAGCAUUUAGGUGGUCACAAGUGACCCCAUCCCAUGAGCAGCAAUCUGUACCCUCCUUCCAUGAAUUUGUCUUGGGAUAAGAUUUAUGGCCAGCAAUCUCAUUGCAAUAAGAAGAAGCGUCCUCUGUUAUGGAAAAAGAGUCCUUAAACUGGAUUAGUGAAGAGCAGGAGUGAGAUCCAGAAGAAGAAAAAGAAGCAUAAAGAUGGGGAAAGAAGAGGAAUAGGCAGAGGAAGAGAUAGGGGGCCAUGUUAUGUCUGUAGAGGAAGAUGAAGGAUAGGAAUGGUAUUUAUAGGCAACAAAUAAUACCGCAGUGUUACAGUCUUUUUUUCUUUUACAUUGAGAAGCUAUGGAGAUUAGAUUUUCAAAAUUUUUGUAUUUUUAACAAUCAUCAACAGUCACUUAGUCUUCUUUUUACCAUAUAUUUUUCAUUCUUAAAAUUGGAUGCUAUCUUUUCGCAAAAUCUUGUGGAAAUUCUUUAGCCUUCUUCUCUAUAACACUUAAAGAAUGUGUGUAUGUAUUCAUUUGCCUGUCAACUAAAGCUAAUUAAUGUGGAAAUUCUUUUCCACCCAAAAGAACAAAAUUGUGCUCUAUUCAUUAAGUUUGAGGAAGAAGAUUGCUGGAAAUUUAAUCUACCGAUUCCAUAAAAAACGUGUAUACUUAUAUAACCUCAUAAUUCAAAUCUAAAAUCUCAUUUGUUAUAAAUUCUGAUAAAUUUCUUUGGAAUUGCUAUUUUUCAUUUGUUAAUUAUUUCUCUUUUAAUCGAGUAAAAAAUUAAAACUAAAAAGACAUAAUGAUUUAUUUGGCAUUUUUAAACUUUACAAAUAAAAAAUCAUUUUAGCUUUUCAUUUUUUUAUCUCUAUUAAAUCACCCAAAAAAAAUAAUGAAAAAGACUAACAAAACUAGCACCUACGUGGCUGAUGUUGACCCUUAGUAGUUAAUGACAACAUCUACGUAGUUGUUAACAGAUACCACACUAACACUGUUUGUUGACGUGACAAUGCCACAUGAUCAAUAAUCACCGACAUGGUAGCGCCACGCUAUCGCCCAUUGGUGACAUAUUGAUGUUUGAGUUAAACUCAAAUUACUAUUUCCUUUGUUAUAAAUUAAGAGUAUAACUAAUUUUGAUAAGAAUGAUUACUUUUCAUUAACUCAGUCUAAAGGACUAUAACACGUAAAGUUUGGCCUAUUGCAGAAUUCACAUGCAAUGCGGGGCAUUUACAUUAUGCAGAAUUCGGCACAUAUAUGGGAAUUUUUGUAUUUCCACAAUCAUCAUGUUGUUCGUGAUCAACAACUACUUCCUUUUUACCAUAUAUUUUUCAUUCAUAAAAUUGAUUACUUUUUUUUUUACGAAAGAAGUAAAAUUAUUAACAUUCAUGAUAUUACAAAGCCUUCUUCCUUAUAACACGUCAAGUUUGGCCCCAAAUAAUUUUCCAGACAAAAGAAUUAAGAGGAAGGAGACUGCUACAGAUUGACUAUACUUUUAACUCCACAAACAAAGACUAAGACUAUCAAUUGUCUAUUGACUACACUUUAACUCGACAAAAACAGAUUGACUAUACUUUUAACUCCACAAACAAAGACUAAGACUAUCAAUUGUCUAUUGACUUCACUUUAACUCGACAAAAACAGACUAAUAAGACUUUGGUUGGCUGUAAUGGGCUAUUGACUAUACUUUAACUCCGCAAAAAAAGACUAAGGCUAUCAAUUGUCUAUUGACUUCACACUUGCUGUUGCUUCCUCCUAUCUCUAUCACUUGCUUCCUCCUAUCUCUAUCACCCAAACUUAAUUUACAAGCAAUGUGGAAAUUUUGGACAUUUGGGCCACAAUGUACAAUACUUCCACACCAUUUGCAGUAUUGACUACGUUUACUUGAGGGCAAACAAAGACAUGAAUGCUGGAAAUUUUAACUAGUUUGUACCGUCAAUGAAGCUACGUACCUAAAAGCAAUGUAUUAUCACCGUCUCCAGAAAUUUUGCUAAUUCAAUUUCCCAAGAAAUAUGAUUAAUUUUGGUUAAAUUGGAGUGAACAUUACUAUUUCUGUUUUAGCAAUUAAAGCAACCUAUAUGUACCCUUUUACAGUCUGCAUUGUUCCAUGUUUCCAUUCAUUACAUCAUUCCUUCAACUCUGCUAUAUAUUAUCACCGUCUCCAGAGAACCAAACCUUUUACUGCUAACUUGUAAAAAAAUUAUGAAAAUACAACAGAGAUUAUUGAGACAUUGUUGAAGUUGGCUUGCAUGCAGUAGACAUUGUUAAUCUUAUUAUUAUUAUUAUUAUUAUUAACUCAUGAACCCAUGGUUACACUUCCAACAGAGGUGAGAGAGGUUAAGAGUAGCCAUGAGCCAUCUAGUCAUGCUCCUGUUGUUGAGGAUGCCUCUGAAACUGCACAAGCUCUCAGCCCGAAUUCAAAUCUAAAAUCUCAUUUGUUAUAAAUUCUGAUAAAUUUAUUUGGGAAUUGCUAUUUUUCAUUCGUUAAUUAUUUCUCUUUUAAUCGAGUAAAAAAUUAAAACUAAAAAGACAUGAUAAUUUACUUGGCAUUUUUUAACUUUACAAACAAAUAGUCAUUUUAGCUUUCCAUUUUUUUUUUCUCUUUUAGCCUUGAAACUUAUAUGGUUCCUUAAAUCACUCCAAAAAAAAUGAUGAAAAAGACUAACAAAUUCUAGCACCUACGUGGCUGAUGUUGACCCUAGUAGUUAAUGGCAACACCUACGUAGUGGUUAACAGAUACCACACCAACACUGUUUGUUGACGUGACAAUGCCAAAUGGUCAAUAAUCGCUGACAUGGUAGCGCCACGCCAUCGCCCAUUGAUGACAUGUUAACCUUUGAGUUAAACUCAAAUUACUCUUUCCUUUGUUAUAAAUUAAGAGUAUAAAUAAUUCUGAUAAGAAUAGUUACUUUUCAUUAACUCAGUUUAAAGGACUAUAACACGUAAAGUUUGGUCUAUUGCAGAAUUCACAUGCCAUGCGGGACGUUUACAUUAUGCAGAAUUCAACACAUAUAUGGGAAUUUUUGUAUUUCCACAAUCAUCAAAUAAUUUUCAUAAAUUGAUUACUUUCUUUUUACCAUAUAAUUUUCAUUCAUAAAUUGAUUACUUUUUUUUUACAAAAGAAGUAAAAUAAUUAAUAUUCGUGAGAUUACAAAGUCUUCUUCCUUAUACACGUCAAGUUUGGUCUCAAAUAAUUUUCCACACAAAAGAAUACUUUUAACAAUCAAUUGUCUAUUGACUAUACUUUGAACUCCACAAAAAAGACUAAGACCUUCAAUUGUCUAUUGACUACACUUUAACUCGACAAAAAAAGACUAAGACUAUCAAUUGUCUAUUGACUAUCAAUUGGUUCCAUGACAAGUCUAAAUAUAUGAGCCACAAGAGGUUCCCCAAUGAUCUCGAAAUUGAUCCCCGUAAAUUGGAAUUAGAGAGAGACAAAUAUUUCAAGACAUGCAGGUUGUCAAUCAAAUCAAUCAAUUUCGUAAAGGAGGACAUCCAUGACAGAUCCAAAUGUUCAAAAUUACUGCUCUGAUUGAACUUCAGAAGAUCAAGACUAAGGAUUCGGUUGUAUCCUAAGUUGAGCAAAUUGAGGUUUGGCGAAUGAAGAAUGUUUCUUGAGAACUUUCCUUGCAAAUCACAACCACCAAGACUGAGAGACUUUAUAGAAGAGGAUAGAUUCAUGAAAACAUUAGGAUUAAUAGAAGGCAUGAUAAUUCUAACAAGAAAAAGAUGUGUCACCUCAGUUAGGUUGUGAACAAGUCCCUCCAAAGAAUUUUAUCAAGAGUUAAUUGGUGAGAAAAAACAUUAUGAGAGAGAUCAAGUGAAACCAAAUUUGACGAGUGGGAGAUUUGGGAUGGGACUUUUCCUGUAAAUAACGUUUUUUAGAUGUUAAGAUACACCAGCCUUGUAAACCGACCGAACUAGGAUGGAAUUUUGGAAAGAUUAAAAUCAUUGUAGGCAAGGUUGAGUUUUUGAAGGUGAGGAAGGAGGAAGAGAGUGGUAUUGGAAGGGAAGUUGCCAUAUAGCCAACUGCAGCUCAAGUCAAGGGCAAUAACAUGAGCAUUAAGGUGAUGACAAGUGACCCCAUACCAUGAGCAGCAAUCUGUACCCUCCUUCCAUGAAUUUGUCUUGGGAUAAGAUUUAAGGCCGUCAAAAUCAUCGCAAUACAAAGCAGCAUGGUCUGUCUGAGUGAUCGAAAAUGAAUUCUUGAACUGGAUUAGAGAAGCAGCUUCGUGGUGAGAGCAGGAGUGAGAUCCUGAAGAAGAAGAAGCAUAAAGAUGGGGAAAGAAGAGGAAUAGGCAGAGAGAGAGAUAGGGGCCAUGUUAUGUUUGUAGAGGAAGAUGAAGGAUAGGAAUGGUAUUUAUAGGCAACAAAUAGAAUCCAAUAUUAAACAAAAGCUUUGAUGAUUAAUACCACAACACCACUGUUACAGUGUUGUUUCUUUUAUGGUAUAAAGAUUGUUAUUGGAAGAGUUUGAAAUGCUGACAUUGAAAACCUAUAUUUUUCAAUACUCAUCAACAACCACUUCCUUUUUACCAUAUCUUUUUCAUUCCCAAAAUUGGAUACAUUGUUUUACCAAAAUUUUGUAUUUCAUUUGAACUCCCUAAACAACUGAGAAAAUUAACAUUGAUGAGAUUACAAAAUAGAUUGACUUAGUCUUCUUCCUUAUAAUACGUAAAAAAAAAUGUGAGUGUCUAUUCACUUAUAAUAUUUCCAUGCUAGAGGUAGUUUUUGGAAAAUCUUUAAUUAAACCUUAAUUUCAUUUUGUUAAAAUUUUUAACUGGAUUAUCGAAUUGGCUUCUGAUUGUAGGUUGAUCAAUGAUGGGCUGAUUUCUUCUUCUUCUUUUUUAAUUUUUUUAGGGUUUAUAAUAUACUGCUUAAUGUUGUUGAUUUAUUUUUCUGAUCAUCGUUUCAUUCGUUUGUUGAAGAUAACUGAAUUUUUAUUGGUUGUAAUUGGACUUGGGUUUUAGCCAAUGACUAUAAUCAAAGGGUUAAUUUAAGGUUCGAAUGAAUUAUUUGAAAAUUUUAUUAUUUUUCUUUUCAAUUAGUUGUUUUACAAGGAUUUAACUUAUAUUAGUCAAAUGAACUGGGUUUAAAAAAUGAACAAGAACGAAGAAAUUGGAUGGUUGACUGGACACUGGAAAGGGGAAAAGCUAAAAGUUGUAAAUGUUUUGAAUAUAGAGUUGUAUUCUUUUCAUGGCUUCAGAAAAAUGUAUGCAAUGUUUGGCCAGCGAUAAUGGACAAGUUUUUUUAAACCUCCAUGCCUAAGUCAUGCUUUCAUAAACAUGGGCAGCUAACACCGAGAAGUCAGUAAGCGAUUUAAAAGUGAAGCUCAUAUGCGUCAUUGCUACUCGCUUUGCAGCUAAACUCCUGAGUGACCGGGGAUGGUUGAUUUGAGGUUUAAUUCUAGCUAGUAGAUUCUUAGGUUUGUUAAGGGUCUUUUUGGAGACAAAUGUCUGAGAUUGCUGGAAAAUGCUUCUUACCAUCAUAUUAAUGUCUAUUCGGGUUGCGUUUUCUUAGAGUUUUGGAUUCUUUGCAUCUUAUCAUAAAAUUGAGUUAGAUAUAACAUGUCAUUGUUAUCUGUUAAUUGUUUCACUUGGGACCAGGAGCAUGGUGGCAACUCAAUACAGCUGUAAAUGCAUAUUUCAGCGAGGGUGAUAGGUAUAUAUUUAUGAAUUAUGCUAAUAUUUUGUUAUGAUAAGUAAUUCUAGGUUUAUAGCUUUAUUGGUUUGUUUGUUUUCUCAUGUUUCCUACAAAAAUAAGGCCAACAUCAACCAUAGUUUCUGUAGAUUAUGCCAUGGAUAUAAAUGAUCCAAAUGAAGUUGUACCAAAUGGGCCAGUCCCUUCCAUUUCUACCAUCAUCUAGAACAAACGAACAAUCGUCUCUUCAUCAUCGAAACUUCCAUAGCAGUUUCUUCGAUGGUGAUUCUGGUUCAACUUAUGAACCAAUUGAUACAUAUCCAACAGAGGUGAGAGGGGUUAAGUAUAGCCAUGAGCCAUCUAGUCAUGCUCCUGUUGUUGAGGAUGCCUCUGAAACUGCACAAGCUCUCGGCCCGAAUUCCCAUGAGACUGUUACAAUUGGUGAAGUAGGUGACGAUUCAAUUGCGCAGCCAAGGUGGCAGAAUGAUAACUGUAACAACCAGCAUGUUACACCCAGCGCUCCUGCCUUUGAUAAUUUGCUAGACUAUGGCGAUGACAUUGAAGAACAAAUGAUUCAAGCUGCCAUUGAGGCCUCUAAGCGGGAUGCUGAGGCAAGUUUUAAAAAAAGGACGCUUCCAAUUUGAUAGUGUUGUGGUGCCCUUCAUUCUUGUAGUUGCUGUAAAUGCUUGUUUUACAGAUUGCCUUUUUCAUGUUUAAAGUGUUAAAGUGUUGCAAAUUGAAGUGUUUUAAGUAAUGCAAAUUGAAUUGUUUAGUUGCUGGAAAUUGAGAUGUUUUAUGGCCGUAAUUGAGUGUAUAAAUGUUGUAAAUUGAAGUGUUUUAUUGCUGGAAAUUGGAUGCAUGGUAUAAUGACAUGAUAGAAUGUCAUUACAAUGUUGUAACUUUUUGAUGUUGUAAAAUCAUAUGGAUUAUGACAUCUAAACUAAUGAAAUCGUGUAACUUUUUAUUAAUAUAUGAAUAUUAUGUUGGGAUGUGAAAUAUAAUUCUCAAGUUAUUUAUUACUUCUAAUAUCUAAUAUUUCAUUGUAGAAUAAUUAAAAUUAUUUGUUUCACUAAUGAUAUUUUAGCACAUUCAAUAUCUAUUGCAGUUUAAAAAUAAUAAUUUAGAUUAUAUAUUAUUUUUAUAGUAUUAUAUAUUAUGAUUUUAGUAAAUUCAUAUAAUAGUAAUUAUAUUAAGAAUUUUAUUAAAUUAUAUUUAAUAAUAAUUAUGUUAAAAUAUGGUUAAAUUAUUUAUUAUCUUUAUUAAAUUAUUUUUAAUAAUAAUCUUUUUAAAAUUUAAUAACAAUAACAAAAAUCAUCUACUUAAAAAAGAUUCUGCUAAGGGUAUUCUAGUCAUUUUAGUUUUUUCCUUAUGCAAUUACAACAUCAUUCCAUUCAACCAAACACAAGAAUACCAUUACAGUUCUAUUCCGUUCCAUUCAACCAAACAAUUGAAUUACUGAUUACAGCUCUAUUCCAUUACAGUGAACCAAAUAUAUCCUUAGUAUGAAUGGCUGUCGAGGCAUGUAGAAAUUUGCACACAAAAGAACAAAAUUGUGCACUACUUAAAACUUCAAAGCAUGUGUGGCCUUAAUUUAAUUUUUCAUCUUUUUUAGCCCUUAAACCUACAUUGUUUAUCAGAUGAAAAAAUUAAUAUCUAUUAACUUUGCUAAUGUGCAAGCAUAUGCAACUUCUUUUAAAUCUAAAAAAUAUAAAAAUAAUUAAAUAUGUAUAAAUCUAAAGAUAUCUUAAACUUAAAACUAAAAUUUUUUAAACUAAUGCAAAUUUUUAUUAUUUAAAAAAUCUUAAAAUUUUCAAAUUAAAUUCCAUUUGUUUUCCACCGUUGAAGAACACCUUUAAUCACAACUUCAUGCUGUAUUGCCUAGAAAUUGUUUUGCAAAUUUAUUUUGUUUUAUUUAUUUCUAAACCCAUAUUUCUUUUCUAUAACUCCAAUUAUUAGAUUGUUUAGGGUUUUGAGUAACUUUCGAUUUUGGAAUUUUAGAUUUUUUAAAUUUAAAUAUGAAGUGCUCUUCUUCUUCUCCAAACCCACAAAUUUUUCUGCCAAAUUUCUACUCAAGGUUUUACUUUCAGCUAUAAAUAAAGCGUAUAUUAUAUUUAUAAUGAUCUAAGAAUAGUAGAGUCGAUGCCGAUCUACAUGAAAAAGGAUGAAAAAAAAAGGCAAAGAAUGAUAAUAUGAAGAGAGCAUAAAUCAAUAAAGCAAAUGAAAAACGAGCAGGAUUAAAGUAAAUGGGUAUUUAAUAUUUUUUUGUGAAAGUUCAAAGACUGAUUAUUUAUAAAAUUGGAUGUGGAAAAAUUAGUUGGAAUUUUUUUUCUUACACCAAUUGAUUUUUUAUAUAAAAUUUUUAUUUAUUUUUAAGUGUUGAAACCACUUUUUGAAAACAAAAAAAAAGUGUUACUUUUAUUUUGAAAACGGAAACGAAAAAAUGGGAGUCGCCACCGAUAUUUUUUUUGAGGUGUGAUCGGAUCACCUUAAAACAAUUUUGGUCUACGAAUAAAAAAAUGGGUCCGGGAGUCAAUUACGUAGGAGGAAGGAUUAGCACCCUCAUAACGCCCAAAAUUGAUACCGAAUUGCAUAAUUAAUGUCUUAAAGUCGAAUGUCGAAAAUUCAAAAAGAUUAAAAAUGAUCCCCUUUAAUUAAUGACAUAUUUUUAAACAAUAUUUGUAUAAAUUUGAUCAUAUGUAGAAAGGUCUUCUCAUCCUGAGUCAACAAAAUGUCGUAUCCCAUAAGUUAGGAUGCGACAUUUAGAUUUCCGAGCAUAAUCUAGCCUUUAAAACCCUUUAUUGAAACUUUAUGUAUUUGAAAACUAAAAAUGUUUGACCAUCUUGGUUCAAUGAGGAAAUCGAAAACCCGUAAGUUAGGACAAAUUUCCUCAAAGUUCCAAAGACGAUAUAUACGUUUGCCUUUAUUUAAAAAAAAAAGAUACUCGGUUACUUAAAUUCAACGAGGAAAAUUGGAGCCUAAUAAGUUAGGGCACAAUCUUCUCGAAAAUAUUGGAUACCGGGUAUUACGUUAUUUUGAAAACUUUGAAUAAAAUGAUUUCAAUACUUUGACUAAACGCAACAUUUUAAAUGAAUAAAAUGCGAUGGAACAAUAACGUAUAACGCGAAGUGAUAAUUCGUAAACUAAAAUAUACGCUAAUGAUCGACAAAGAAUCAAUGAAUACGAGUAAGCAAUACAAUACAUCAUAUAAGAGCAACAAUCUCAUAUCCCACAUUAUGCAAAUACUAACAUCCAUUUUAGCAAGCUAAAUGAAUUAAAAGUUAAUUAAAGAACAGCAAGCAAAUUAAUGUAAAUCUAAUAUAACAAGCUUUAAAAUAAAAUAAAAAUAAAAAUCAUGAAAAAGAGGAAAAUUCAAACACUAAAUUGUAUGUAUAAAAUAUUUGGCACAAAUAAUAUAUAGGAAAACUUGCAAUAAAAAAAUGAAGAAAAUAAAGAAUAAAUAAGAUGCAAAAUAAUACAUGUUCAUCUAAAUAAGUAGUACAUAUAAAAUAAAAUUUUAAUAUAAAUGUUGAAAUAAACAAAGCGUGUAAUUGAACAUCAUUUCCACUAACUAGAUCCUUCUUCGUCAACUGCUGCGAUUGCCUUUCUUUGACUUUCUUUUUCGCCUCUUCUCAUGUUGGUUUUCAACCAAAUUCACCAACCAUUUCGGUUUUCCAGUUUGGAAAACAACAUAUCCCACCAACAUUCCGAACACUACUCCGCAUCCAUAACCUAUCAACACCACUUUCCAACCAAAAGUAAUGUUUGAUUUUGAGCCAUCUUUUUCAAGCACAUCUGGAGGUGUUGGCGCAAUGAUGUUGCAACCUUUCGAGACCGGAAACCCACAUAUGAAUCAUUUCCAAAUGUGUUGAAUUGUUUGCCUUGAGGAAUCUGACCAUGGAGUUGAUUUUCAGAAACAUUUAAGGACAAAAGAAAUGGCAGAUCUACCAAUCUAUUUGGAAUGGUUCCAGACAACCUGUUUGAAGAUAGUGUUGGCACAUAAUUAAAUUAACCUUGCACAAAUAAAUUAUGAAAAGUUAGAAGAGUGAAGAGACUUGAAUAUGAAAAGUGAAAAAACUUGAAUAUGAAUAGUGAAGAGACUUGAAGAUGAAAAGUUAAGAGGCUUGAAUAUGAAAAGAUACACACAUGCAUGAAUAGUCACAACUCCUAGCAUAUAGUGAUAUAGAUGAAUAGUCACUUACAACUCCUAUAUAAAGAGUUGUAUGUGAUGAAGAAUUAUUAACUUUGUGUGCUUGAAAUAAAAGAUUAUUUGAAAGAAUUUUUUCAUACAAAAUUUAUUUCUCUUCUCCAUUAUAUUCUUUAUCAUUUUCUUUGUUUUAUUUCUCCAAAUAUUAAUCAUUCAACUACAAAUUGGUAUCAAAGCCUUGUUCAAUCGAAAUGAACAAUUCUAUUCCUCUUUCUUCCGUUCCCCAAUUAACCAAAGAAAAUUAUGGCAAAUGGAGUAUCCAAAUGAAGGCUCUUCUUGGAUCUCUAGAAGUUUGGGAGAUUGUUGAAAAAGGUUAUAAUGAAGUUGAGGGUGAAGAGGAGGAAGGAUUAACACAAGUUCAAAAAGAGAGUCUAAGAAAAUCAAGGAAGAAAAAUCAGCAAGCCUUAUUUUGGAUAUAUCAAGGAGUUCAAUCAUAUGAAGCGGCUUGGGAAAAAAUAGCUUGUGCCACCACGGCAAAACAAGCAUGGGAAUUUUUACAAAAUUCAUUCAAAGGAGAUGAAAAGGUGAAAAGAGUUCGGUUGCAAACUCUUUGAGGAGAGUUUGAAAGAUUGCAAAAAAUAGAGUCAGAAUCAGUUUCUGAUUACUGUUCACGGGUUUUGUCCAUAGUCAAUCAAUUAAAAAGAAAUGGUGAAACUAUGGAUGAUAUUCGUGGUGUUGAGAAAAUCCUCCGUUCUUUAGAUUCCAAAUUUGACUACAUUGUGGUUGCCAUAGAAGAAUCAAAGGACUUGAGUACCAUGACUAUUGAUGAACUCACAGGUUCGUUGCAAGCCCAUGAAGAAAGAUUAAACAAGAAGAAAAAGGAAGUAGAUCUAGAUCAAGCACUUCAGUCAAAGUUGUCUCUAAAUGAGAAUAAGGGAGAUUUUAAAAAUCAAAGAGGGAGAGAUCGUGGUCGUGGAAGAGGAAGAAAUUUUAGAGGAAGAGGCUCAAAUGCUCGUGAAAGAGGUGAAGAUGUAAGCAUGGAGAAUGGAUGGAAAGAAGCCAACCAAAGUCAAAAUUUUAGAGGAUCACAAAGAGGACGUGGACGUAGAAAUCAAAGAGGAAGAGGUCGUGGCUAUUUUGAAUGUUAUAAUUGUCGCAAACCUGGUCAUUUGGCAAGUGAAUGCUGGUACAAAGAAGAAGAGAAAAAUGAAGCUAAUAUAGUACAAAAUAAUCAAGAGCAAAAGCAAGAAACUUUGUUGCUCGUAUCUCAUGGUGGAGAGAUUGAUGAUGUCUGGUACAUAGACAGUGGUGCUAGCAAGCAUAUGACAGGUAACAAAAAUUUAUUUUCGAAGUUCUUUGAAUCUGAUUGUGGAGAAGUAAAAGUAGGAGAUGGCAAAGCUUACAAAGUUAGCGGUGUUGGUGAGUUGGAGUUCAAAACAAAGCAAGGAAGGGUAGAGAAAAUGUCUGAAGUUUAUUUUGUUCCUGGUCUUAAAAAUAAUCUGCUUAGCGUUGGGCAUCUCUUGAAGAAGGGGUAUGAUAUUCAUUUCCGAGACAUGGCUUGCUAUUUAUCAAAGAAAAAUCAGGUUGUUGCUAGAGUUGGAGUGGCAUCAAAUAAUCUUUUCUCUCUUACCCUUCAAAAUCAGAAUAUGUCUUGUUUUAUUGGUGCUCAUAAAGGAAUUUCAAAGUUAUGGCAUGAUAGAUAUGGACAUUUAAACUAUGGAAAUUUGGAGAUGCUUUCAAGGAAGAUGAUGGUUAGAGGUUUACCAAAAAUCGAUCGGCUUGAUGAUGUUUGUGAAGCAUGUCAACUUGGAAAGCAACAUAAAAUUGCUUUUCCUUCUCAAUCCUCGUGGAAAGCAAGAAGACCAUUGCAACUUAUUCACUCAAAUCUUUGUGGUCCAAUGACAGUUUCAUCUUUAGGAGGUAAUCGUUACUUUAUCUCUUUCAUUGAUGAUUACUCAAGAAAGUUAUGGGUGUAUUGUGUCAAAGAAAAAUCAGAGGCUUUUCAGAGAUUCAAAGAUUUCAAGGCAGAAGUGGAGAACUUUACUGGGUUGAAAAUUAACACCUUGCGUACAGAUCGUGGAGGUGAAUAUUUUUCAAAAGAAUUUGAGAAAUAUUGCCGAGAUAGUGGCAUCCGGCAUGAAAUGACAGUCCGCCAUACACCUCAGCAAAAUGGUGUGUGUGAAAGAAAGAACAGAACAAUUAUGGAAAUGGCUAGAUGUCUUCUUAAUAAGAAGAGGUUAUCAAGAAGAUUUUGGGCUGAAGUUGUUUCCUGUGCAGUUUAUCUUAUAAACAGAUCACCGACAAGAAGCUUGGAGAAUUACACACCACAUGAGGCGUGGUAUGGUAUAAAGCCUAGUGUUAGUCAUCUUAGAGUAUUUGGGAGUGUUGCCUACUCUCUAUUCCAGAUGCAAUGAGAAGCAAGUUGGAUGACAAGUCAGAGAAAUGCAUUUUUAUUGGCUAUAGUGAAAGAAGUAAGGCAUACAAGUUGUAUAAUCCGGUGACAAAGAAGAUUGUGAUAAGCCGAGAUGUUCGGUUUGAUGAAAAUUCCAUGUUUGAAGAUAUGGAAGUUGAAAAGGAAAAUUUGCCAAUUUUUCCUUUUGAACUUGAAGAAGAAGAAGAGGCAGUAAUUGAGAAUGCUGAAGAUGAUGCUCAAGUAGAAAAUCCUCCUGCUUCCCCAUGUUCUUCAUCAAAUUCUUCUUCAUCCAGCCCGAUCCGAAAAACGAGAAGCAUCCAAGAGUUAUAUGAUGUAACGGAUGAAGUUGUGCAAAAUGAUGCUGUAUUCUUUGCCUUCUUUGCAGGAGAAGAUCCAAUUUCUUUUGAUGAUGCAUAUCAAGAAGAAAUAUGGAGGAAAGCCAUGAAAUAAGAGAUUUUCUCAAUUGAAAACAAUGAUACAUGGGAACUCACAGAUUUACCGCCGCACAAGAAUUCAAUUGGAGUCAAAUGGGUGUACAAGACAAAGAUGAAUCCGAAUGGCUCUAUCAACAAGUACAAGGCAAGACUGGUUGCAAAAGGAUACAAGCAAAAGGAAGGAGAAGAUUUUACAGAGGUAUUUGCUCCAGUUUCAAGACUUGAGACAGUUCGGUUACUUAUUUCUCUUGCUGCCCAAAAUAAUUGGAAAAUAUUCCAAAUGGACGUAAAAUCUGCGUUUUUGAAUGGUGUUCUCAAAGAAGAAGUCUAUGUUGAUCAACCACCAGGGUUUGUCAAAAAAGGAGAAGAAGAAAAAGUUUACAAGUUGAAGAAAGCUUUGUACGGGUUGAAGCAAUCACCCAGAGCAUGGUACAGCCGCAUCGAUUCUUAUUUUCAGAAGUGUGGAUUCCAGAAAUCUCCAUAUGAGCAUACUCUCUACAUCAAAGGCAAUUAUCAAGGAAGAUUCAUGGUUGUAAGUCUCUACGUUGAUGAUCUUAUUUUCACAGGAAAUGAUGUGAAGAUGUUGAAAGAAUUUCAGCACUCAAUGAUGGCAGAAUUUAAGAUGACAGAUUUGGGAGAACUUCAUCAUUUUCUUGGCAUUGAAGUUCAUCAAUCCGAGAAAGGAAUUUUUAUUUCACAAGAGAGCUACGCAAAGGAAGUUCUAAAAAAAUUCAUGAUGGAAAAUGCGAAUCCAGUCUCUACUCCAUGCAUUACAGGUCUGAAGUUAUCUAAAGAGGGUGAAGGAAAGCUUGUCAAUUCCACCAUAUUCAGAAGUUUGGUUGGGAAGUUGAUGUAUCUGACUUCGACAAGGCCUGAUAUCGUGUAUGUUGUUAGCUUGGUAAGUAGAUUCAUGGAGAAACCUUACUCCAAUCACUGGGAGGCUGCCAAGAGAAUAUUGAGAUAUGUGAAGGGAACCAUUGAUUAUGGAAUUUUCUAUAAAUCUAAUACAUUAGUUGAUCUCAUUGGUUAUACGGAUAGUGAUUUAGCAGGAAGCAUUGAUGAUAGCAGAAGCACUUCUGGUUAUGUUUUUCACCUUGGUAGUGGUGCAGUUUCAUGGAGUUCAAAGAAACAAUCAAUUGUGGCGCUUUCGACUAUAGAAGCUGAAUAUAUCGCUGCAUCUUAUGCAGGAUGUCAAUUGAUUUGGUUACGUGGAAUUUUGGAAAGUCUUAAGCAGAAGCAAAGCAAGUCAACAAUUUUGUUUUGUGACAAUAGUUCUACUAUUUCGGUCACAAAAGAUCCAAUUCUUCAUAGAAGGACAAAACACAUUCGCAUUCGAUAUCACUUCUUGAGAGAACUAGUGAAUAAUGGUGAUGUUCAAGUUGAAUAUUGCAAGACGGAAGAUCAGAUGGCUGAUAUCUUCACAAAGCCUCUAAGUGGACAAGUCUUCAAGAAAAAUGUUGAAAGGUUGGGAGUUCAAAGCAAGUUUAAUUUAAGGGAGGCAUUGUUGGCACAUAAUUAAAUUAACCUUGCACAAAUAAAUUAUGAAAAGUUAGAAGAGUGAAGAGACUUGAAUAUGAAAAGUGAAAAAACUUGAAUAUGAAUAGUGAAGAGACUUGAAGAUGAAAAGUUAAGAGGCUUGAAUAUGAAAAGAUACACACAUGCAUGAAUAGUCACAACUCCUAGCAUAUAGUGAUAUAGAUGAAUAGUCACUUACAACUCUUAUAUAAAGAGUUAUAUGUGAUGAAGAAUUAUUAACUUUGUGUGCUUGAAAUAAAAGAUUAUUUGAAAGAAUUUUUUCAUACAAAAUUUAUUUCUCUUCUCCAUUAUAUUCUUUAUCAUUUUCUUUGUUUUAUUUCUCCAAAUAUUAAUCAUUCAACUACAGAUAGGUCCAACCAUUCAAGACUUGUCAAAUCCCCUACUGAGGUAGGGAUACCACUAUUAAGGUUAUUAUGAGAAAGGUUGAGCCCUUUCAGUAAGUUAAGCUUCCCAAUAACCUUUGGAAUCUCCCCUUCAAACUGAUUGCUUGAUAGAUCAAUGAUCACCCACAUAGUGAAAAUUUUCACCAAUUCCACGUCUUGUCCUUUCAUAACAAUUCCAAUGGAAUAGGCAUAGAAGUCAUCUCCAUCAUUCACCCCCAUGUACGACACUGUACUACUAACCUUCUCUAGAUUUAUGAUAGCCUUGAAGCUGUUGAUGUAUCUCACUAGUAGGGGUCCAGAAAAAUAAUUACUUGAGAGGUCAAAAAUUUGGAUUUUAGAGAAAAAAGGGCUAGACUUGGAGUUAUUGACACACAGGGAACCAUGCAUUUGAUUUGACUUUAGUACAAGAACUUGUAGCUGUGGAAGACUUCCCAACCAAUGAGGAAAUGUAUCAUUGAUCUUGUUGUUACCAAGAUCUAGUACUUCCAGACCUCUACAAUUAAGGAUGGAUGGUGUCAAAGGCCCUCCUAACAGAUUUCCAUUUAAAUUGAAAUUACUCAAUUGGCAUCCCAUUGCAAAUGUUGGAGGAAUCGUCCCAUAGAACUUGUUCUUCUUCAGAUUCAAGAAUUGAAGGCUGUUGCUCAAAUUUCCAAAACACUGCGGAAUUGUUCCACUCAAGUAAUUGUGGGACAAAUCAAGAAUUUGAAGAUAAGUGGCAUUGCAUAUUAAUGAAGAGACCUCUCCAUUGAAACAAUUAUUUGAGAUCAAAAAGACAGUGAUGGUCGAAGCUGGAAUCGGAAGAUUUCCACUGAUCAAAUUGGAGCUUAAGUCAAGAACAUCAAUAUUCUUCCAUGGAAAGUGCUCAGCUUCUGUCAAAGAGUUGUGAAAUACAUUUAAGUAAGUCAAAGAGCCAUUCCCCACCUCUUGCAUCCACUAUGGAAUCUUGCCUUUAAUUUUGUUGCAAGAGAGGUCUAAGCUUUCCAAACUUUUAAGCCCUUUUAAAAAUUGGGGGAAUUCACUAAGAUUGCAAGAUGACAAAAAUAACCAUUCAAGAUUUCCACUGAUCAAAUUGGAGCUUAAGUCAAGAACAUCAAUAUUAUGACGAUAUAUAAGUUUCCCUUUAUUUUUUAAAAAAAAACCUCGUCUCGAGAUAUCGAAAGGUCAUAUCCAAUGAGUUAGGACACAACGUUUUGAAUUCCCGAGAUAAGCUUUAAUUUGAAAUUUUUAUAUUUUAAUUAAAAAAUGAUACUCAGUUACUUAAAUUCAACGAGGAAAAUUGGAGCCCAGUAAGUUAGGGCACAUUCUUCUCGAAAAUCUUGGAUACCGGGUAUUACGUUAUUUUGAAAACCUUUGAAUAAAACGAUUUCUAUACUUUGAUUAAAUGCAACCUUUUAAACGAAUAAAAUGCGAUGGAACAAUAACAUACAACCCGAAGUGAUAAUUCGUAAACUAAAAUAUAUGCUAAUGAUUGACAAGGAAUCAAUGAAUACGAGUAAGCAAUACAAUACAUCAUAUAAGAGCAACAAUCUCAUAUCCCACAUUAUGCAAAUACUAACGUCCAUAUUAGCAAGCUAAAUGAAUUAAAAGUUAAUUAAAGAACAGCAAGCAAAUUAAUGUAAAUCUAAUAUAACAAGCUUUAAAAUAAAAUAAAAAUAAAAAUCAUGAAAGAGAGGAAAGUGCUAAGGGAUAAGAUUGAAGGCCCGUAAUAUGAUCGCAAGACAAAGAAGCACGCUCUGUUAUGGAAAAAGAGUUCUUGAACUGGAUUAAUGAAGAGCAGGAGUGAGAUCCUGAAGAAGAAAAAGAAGCAUAAAGAUGGGGAAAAAAGAGGAAUAGGGAGAGAAAGAGAUAGGAGGCCAUGUUAUGUUUGUAGAGGAAGAAGGAUAGGAAUGGUAUUUAUAGGCAACAAAUAAUACCACAACAUUGGUGUUACAGUCUUUUUUUUCUUUUACAUUGAAAUGCUACAGAUAUUAGAUUUUCAAAAUAUUUGUAUUUUUCACAAUCAUCAACACUUAGUCGUCAUUUUACCAUAUAUUUUUCAUUCUUUUUUUUUUUAACAAAAUCUUGUAUAUCAUUUGGACUCGCUAAACAACUAAAAAAAUAAAGAUUGAUGAGAUUACAAAGUAGAUUGACUUAGUCUUCUUCCCUAUAACAUGUAAAGAAUGUAUGUGUCUAUUCAAUUGCCUGUCAACCAAAGCUUAUUAAUGUGGAAAUUCUUUUCCACACAAAAGAACAAAAUUGUGCUCUAUUCAGCUACGUUUGAGGAAGGAGACGGCUGGAAAUUUAAUCCACCGAUUCCAUAAAAACGUGUAUAUUUAUUUAUAAAUAUAUAUAUAACCUCAUGAUUCAAAUCUAAAAUCUCAUUUGUUAUAAAUUCUUAUAAAUUUAUUUGGGAAUAGUUAUUUUUCAUUCGUUAAUUAUUUCUCUUUUAGCCGUGAAACUUAUAUGGUUCGUUAAAUCGCCCCAAAAAAUGAUAAAAAAGAUUAACAAAACUAGCCCCUACGUGGCUGAUGUUGACCCUUAGUAGUUAAUGGCAACUCCUAUGUAAUUGUUAACAGAUACCACAGCAACAAUGUUUGUUGACGUGACAAUGCCACAUGACCAAUAAUCGUUGUCAUGGUAGUGCCACGCCGUCACCCAUUGAUGACAUAUUAACCUUCGAGUUAAACUCAAAUUGCUCUUUCCUUUGUUAUAAAUUAAGAGUAUAACUAAUUUUGAUAAGAAUAGUUACUUUUCAUUAACUCAGUUUAAAGGACUAUAACACGUAAAGUUUGGUCUAUUGCAGAAUUCACAUGCAAUGCGGGAUAUUUACAUUUUGAAGAAUUCAACACAUAUAUGGGAAUUUUUGUAUUUCCACAAUCAUAAUUUUGUUAGUGAUCAACAACUACUUCCUCCUUACCAUAUAUUUUUCAUUCAUAAAAUUGAUUACUUUUUUUAUCAAAGAAGUAAAAUAAUUAACAUUCUUAAGAUUACAAAGUCUUCUUCCUUAUAACACGUAAAGUUUAGUUCCAAAUAAUUUUCCACAAAAAAAAGACCAUCAAUUGUCGAUUGACUAUACUUUAACUCCAAAAAAAAGACUAAGACUAUCAAUUGUCUAUUGACUACACUUUAACUCGACAAAAAAGGACUAAGACUAAGACUUUCAAUUGUCUAUUGACUUCACACUUGCGGUUGCUUCCUCCUAUCUCUCUCACCCAAACUUAAUUUAGAAGCAAUGGGGAAAUUUUGGACAUUUGGGCCACAAUGAACAAUACUUCCACACCAUUUGCAGUAUUGACUACGUUUACUUGAGGGAAAACAAAGACAUGAAUGCUGGAAAUUUUAACUAGUUUGUACCGUCAAUGAAGCUACGUACCUAAAAGCCUUUUAGGAUAUCAAUUCCUGUAAUUGGAUUAAUCUCAUCGUUGCUGCAAUCUUUUGACAGUGUAAUCGAAUCUUAAAUAUGUUACUCUGCAAUGCUGUUGUAAAAAUUACUCUUAAAAUUGUCGAUAGAUAUAUAGGUUUGGCACAAAAUUAAGAAUACACAAAGGCAGGUUGAAUUAUUCCAUGUUUGAACAUAAAUUCAUAUGGCAAAAGGGCCCAAACCAUACCUUAUGUUCAUGAAUUCUCAUCAUCACAUGUUUAUAAAUGCAUCUCAAAACUUGAAUAAUUGAAUCUUUUGUAAUUCUACAUGUAUUUUUUUUUAUGGUGAGCAGUAUAAUGUUUACUAAAAAUUGAAAUUCAAGAAAGAAGACAUACAUAGUUGCACCAUACAAGUUGUUACACUCGAACUAAACCCUUACAAAUAGUACGAGAUGCAAUGAAAUACAGAGGAAUUGGUACAAUCAUAAAGACAGACACAUACCAAUGCAACUUUUCACCAUAGGAAAAACUUUCUGACAGACUACUAAACAAGAAAUUAUGAAGACACAGCAGAAAUGCUUUGACUUCUUUUGCACCAACUAGAUCCUUCUUCAUCCAUUGAUGCGAUUGCUAUAUUUUGGCUUUCUUCUUCGCCUCUUCUCAUGUUGGUUUUCAACCAAAUUCACAAACCUUUUCACCUUACCGGUUUGGAAAACAACAUAUCCCAUGGCCAUUCCAAACACUACCCCGCAUCCACAACCUAUCAACACCACUAUCCAACCAAAAGCAAUGUUUGCUUUUGAGCCAUCCUUUUCCAGCACAUUUGGAGGUGGUGUCUCAUUGAUGCUGCAACCUUUGGAGACUGGGAAUCCACAUAGUCUCUGUUUCCUUCAUAUGAAUUGUUUCGAAAUGUAUUGACAAUCUGACCAUGGAGUUGAUUUUCAGAAACGUUUAAGAAGAAAAGAAAUGCCGGAUCUGCCAAUAUCUCUGGAAUUAACUCAGUUCAAAUGACCAUAUAACUCGUAAAGUUUGGUCGAAGACUGGCAGCGUCUAUUGACUUCAACUCUUGCUAUUACCUCAAGAAGAAAGACUGCUACAAUUCUAUCUUCUUUAAACCAGCUAUUUAAAAGCAAUAAGGACAUUAAAUCCACCAAUUUAUCUUUGAAGUCAUUCGUCAUGCAGCUCUGCUAUGUACGAUUAUUGGCAAAAAUCUUGAAAGGAGACAACCUCAAAUUUGAAGACAAGAAAUGAGCAAGAACAUGCACCAACGAAGAAUCGAUUAUUGUUUUGUAUUUGGUAAAUACAAUUUGAGUUAAAUAAUCAAGAAUGAUAGUGAAUAAAUAAGGAAAAACAAUGUAGAUUCAGAACCACAAUAAAUCAUAUUAAGCUCAUGAGUUUAUAAUAUAUAUCUCUGCAGCUUGAUUGCCUUGUUAGCUAUAAACAUAACCUGUUAAUUCCAUCAUUAAUACCAUUAGAUAUAUUUUGAUGGGGGAGAUUUUUUAGUAGGAAAACAGUUGAAGUCAUUCAAGAAGACAUAAACAGCUGCAACUACGUAAGAGUUUAACUUUGAGAAUAGAUCCUUACACGUUAUUGAAAUGCCAUACUAAAGAUAAAGACAUAUAGCUAAACGUUAGACACACCAUAAAAAUAUAUAUAGGUAAAGUGAUAGGGUGUGAGUAAGGAGGCCAUGCUAUGUUUUCAAAUAAGAUUAUCAUGGUAUGAAUUAUGAGAACCCUAUUUAUAGGAAGAACAAAACCGAUAUGAAACUAAGAAUAUAGUCCAUUGAUAAUGAAGAAUCUAAGAAAUUUAAUGGAAAUUGUGGAUAAGCAUCGUGUUUUUAUCUCUGAUGGAGAAAAGCUAAGAGUGUGAGGAAGACCAACUGUCAAUGUCACCCAAACCGAAUCUACAAGUCACCACAAUGUACAGUAAUUCAAAGCAGGAAAAGUUCAUAGUUUCAGAGUAAAUAACACUUCAAUGAUUGUAUUAUAGAAAACAUGUGUAUCCUAUAUAUGUUGAACAAUAUUAUCUAACAAACAUAUUUUCCAAAAGACUAGAAAAUUUGUGAUUAAAUGCUAAAGUUACAUAUUUUAUGUAAUUAAAUUGGUUAAUUUAUGAGAGUGCACCACUAAUUUUUCCAUGUUUUUGUUGAAUUUUGUGCAGGGGUGCAAUUUGGGGCUAAAUAGAAGAAAAAGGAAACAAUUGGGCUAGAUUGAAGAGAGAAGCAAAGAAGGAGGGCCAAAACAGAAUUUUUCCAGAUUAAUUAGCUGAAAUUUUUGUUGACUUAGUGGGAGAUUAUUUUGGGAUUUUUUUUUAUAUCAUGGAAUAUUUUUCCUUAAUUUUCUAUACUAGUUGGCUUUUAAUUUAGCAAGGCCACUAGUAUAAAUAGAGGCUACAUUGUUCAUUUUAAUCAUCAAGUCUUGAAUCAAUUCAUAAAUCAAGCUUUCAUCUUUCAAUACAUUCUCUCUUUUCUACUCACAAAUUUAUUUGUUGUUUUUAGUUUCAUUUACUUUCAAUCCAUUAAUUUCCAGCUUGUUACCACUUAAACCAUUUUCAAUUUCUUUUUCAAACUUUCUUUCCAUCUCCAGUAGCUAAUUCACUUUAUUACACCCCCAAAAUUCCAGCCCCCCAAACUAAAUCACGCCACCCAUUCCUUUCACCCAUUUUACCUUAUUUAAUUUAUCCAAUACCAACAUGCCCCAAACCUUAGCCAACUAAAUUCAUUUCCAGCUUUAGGUCGGAAUUAGCCUCGUCAAAACCCGUGAGUUACGAACCCGAGCAAAUUAACUCCUAAAUUUUAGUACUUAUUAUUUCUCCGGAUUAAGAGUAUGAUUUUGUCAACUCACAAAGUCAGAUCAACAUUAAGUUAAAAAAGACGUCGUUUGAUUUAGUGUGGUUAGACGUACAGUUGGAAUUCCAAAAAGAUCGAUUCUAAUCGGUUUUCUGUGAACACAUUGGCGUGCCAAUUGGAGAUUGCUGUUUGGUUCCGUCAAGGGAAGUAGUAACCCGAUUUAAAUGUCCCACGCGGUUGAGGGCAUUGGUUCGAGCUAGGGUUUUCUAGAACGCAAAGCUGCCGGAGUUCUAAAUCACGAACAUUUCGUGGUUGUUCGAUCAGUAAGGGUUAGUUAUUGGACGUUCCAUAACUAAUUUACACAAGGAAGAGUUAGUGUCUGAGGCGUCCUUGGUAGCUAUAACUAGCUUAUUGGAAAAGAGGAGUUCAUCUAAUUUUGAGAAUCGGUUCAAAGACGAGGAAAAUUCGUGCCUAAAGCUGAGCUUAUUCUAAUUAAAUUUUCUUCAUAUUUAUUUAACUAUUUUAAUUAUUCUGUUUUCAACUUUAUCUUUUCACGCAUUUUAUUUAUUUAUUUCAGGUCUUCAAAUUUUAUCCCCCCGAACUUCUUGGGCACGACAACUGCCCCAACAUAAAUCUGGUCAAAAUAGAAACAAUUUGCAGUAAACCCAGUCUCUGAGGGAUCGACCCUACUCCCUAUACUGUUUAAAUCGCAAAUUAGGCGUAGGUUUAUAUUGGUGGAUUCGACACCCAUCAAUUUGUAUGUCAUUUUCUAUUACUUGCAAGAAAACUACAGGGGAAAUUGCAUUUCUAAUUCAUCCAUAGGCUUUAAAUUCAAACAAGAAAAAGGAAAAAGAAUAUAUAUAUAUCAACAGGAAACUUCAAGGAGAGAAAUUUUGUUACAUCAAUUUUCCAGUCAUAUUUAAUCUUUACCCAAAGUUGAUUCUAGAUUAAAUUUGGAAAAAAUUAAAAAAGAGGACAUGUAUUUUUUUUUAUUUUUGAAAAGUAAAGGAUUAUAUCUCAGCCAAAUAAAAAAGUCACAAUGCAAAGCCAAGAGCCAAAGCCAAGCCAAGCACACACUCAACUAGCAGACAUAACUCAUACAGGACCUAGAUGUAUUAUUGAACUCUUAUAUAAAAGACAACUGAAGAUGCAAAGCUUAAUUGUUAAGCUUUUCUGAUGCUUGAUAAGCAUAGUUUUAGUUCAGUUCCGAAAUCUAAACUGCUUUGCUAUGGGAUUAUUUUUAUAAGUACAUUGAGAUCAAUGCAUGCUAUUGCGAUUUAUUAUCUUUGAUGCCAAGGAAAUGACAGAAUUCAAAGACCAAAAGGUUCGAUUACAUACUAGAUCAUGGAUGUAAGCCAAUCUACAACCUCUCUCCUCGACCUCCAUGUGAAACCAGCAUGAUUUGAAUUCUCAGCCGCAUAUACCCUCACAAACUCCUCAGCAACAACAUAAAACAUAUACCUAACACUCCUUUGAGAACCGAUAACUGCACAGACAGAUUCACUAAUGGAAGCCUUCAAGAAAUAUUGAACCACACAAUUACCACACUUCUGUGAAAUAAACUUGUUGGUGCAAAGAGACAACAAUAGACUGUUUUCAAUCUUGCUUGUAUAGCAAGCCUCGAGCCUUGCUGAAGAAACAAACUCAAAAGCAAGAACAGAAACACAUGCGAAUGAAAAACAAAAGAAAUUGAGAGAGAGAGUAUUUUGAAUGAAAAGAGCUGAUAUUUCAUUAACAAAUCCAGAAGGCAUAAUGCCAUUACAUAUAAUAGAUAACAACAACAAAAUGAACAAGUCUUUACCUAAUGACAUACCUAACACCACUAAAUUUACAUUGGAAAUUGUUAAUCAGCUUGCUUAAGUUUCUUUGCUGAUUUUUUCAGUCAAUCAAUCAACAAAAAACAUCAUAAGGUUUACCAACUUAGUUCAACAUGAACUAGAUUACAAAAUAAUAAUUAAAAAUACAAUCAAAACAUAACAAGUAGUUAGGCAACUUUAAGCUCCAGUUUCUGCACUUCAUAGCUCGACUGCUUGCUGCCACUUCUCCUUGCAUGGCCACCUUUGCAUGUCUUGCAUGGGAACUAAAUUCAACACUCCUCCUUAGUUUCCAUGCUAGUGACACCUAAUUGCCUUCUUAAUUUAACAAAUUUAGACACAUUGAGUGCCUUUGUAAAGAUAUCAGCAAUUUGCUCUUCUGAAUUGCAAUGAACCAGCUCGAUUUCAUGAGCUUGCUCCAUCUCCCUUAUGACAUGUAGCUUGAUGUUGAAGUACUUUGCUCUACCAUGAAAGAUAGGAUUCUUUGCAAUUGCAACAGCAGAUUUGUUGUCACAGUAAAUCUCUGUUGCCUUUCCUUGAUUUUGAUUUAAAUCAGCUAGGAUUUUUCUAAGCCAUAUGGCUUGAUUUACAGCAGAUGCAGCAGCAACAUAUUCAGCUUCUGCUGUUGACUGUGCUACCAGACUUUGCUUUUUAGAACUCCAGCAAAACAUGCCUGAGCCAAGACUAAAGGCAUAUCCAGAUGUGCUUCUCAUGUCAUCACAAGAUCCAGCCCAGUCACUAUCAACAUAGCCUAUUAGCUUCAUGUUUAUAGCCCUUUUGAACAAUACACCAUGAUCAAUGGUGCCUUUGAUGUAUCUAAGCACUCUUUUAGCUGCUUGAAAGUGCUGAUCAUUGCAGCAAUUCAUGUAUCUGGAUAGCACACUAACAGCAAACAUGAUAUCGGGUCUUGUUGCAGUCAAAUACAACAGACUACCAAUGAGACUUUUGUACAUAGUCUCGCAAAUUGGUUCACCACUCCCUUGCCUCGAAAGCUUCACUCCAACAGCCAUUGGUGUGCUUGUUGGCUUGCAGUUCUUCAUAGAGAACUUAUCCAGGAUCUUCAUAGUAAAAGAACUCUGACUAAGAAAGAUUCCCUUUGCUGUUUGCUUCACUUCCAUUCCAAGGAAGUAGUUCAUUCUGCCUAAAUCAGACAUUUCAAACAUUUCCAUCAUUUUUCUUUUGAAAUCUUCCAGCAUUCUUCUAUCUCCUCCAGUCACCAAUAAAUCAUCAACAUAGAGUGACAGGAUAAGCUGAGUUUCAGCUUGGUUCUUCUUCACAUACAGUGUUGGUUCACUGAGACUUCUCUCGAAUUCCAAACUGAGCAAGUAAGAAUCAAUUCGAGCAUACCAGGCUCAAGGAGCCUGUUUUAGGCCAUACAAAGCCUUUUUCAGUCUGUACACCUUGUGUUCUUUGCCAGUGACCACAAAUCCUUGAGGCUGUUCGAUGUAGAUCUCUUCUUCCAGGAAACCAUUGAGAAAUGCAGACUUAACAUCAAGCUGAUGAAUGGUCCACUGAUGUUGAGCAGCCAAGGCAACUAUCAUUCUAACUGUGUCAAGCCUGGCUACUGGUGCAAAUGUCUCCAGAUAGUCCAGACCAUACCUUUGGCUAAAACCUUUGACAACAAGCCUGGCUUUUAGCUUGUUCAGACUGUCAUCUGCAUUCUGUUUUGCUCGAUAGACCCAUUUUACUCCAAUGGUCUUCUUUCCAGUAGGUUUAUCAACUAGCUCCCAUGUCUGGUUCUUCUCAAUCAUGUUGAUUUCAUCGACCAUAGCUAGUUUCCAGCCUUCAUCUGCCUCAGCCUCUUCAAAACUGCUAGGUUCUGCUAUUGCAACCUGUGCCCUUUCAUAAAUAUCAUCUAGGGGCCUUGUGCCUCUCACAAGCACAUCAUCAACAUCCAUUUCAGGUCCUAGCUGCUCAAGUUCAGCUUGAUUAGGCACCAGGUCUUCUGAAGCAGCUUCUGGUUCAUUCUUUUCCCAAUUCCAACAAGCCUUCUCAUCGAAGAUGACAUCUCUGCUCACUUGAACUAUGUUUGUCAAAGGAUCCAGCACCCUGUAGCCCUUCUUAACUGAGCUAUAGCCUACUAGAACACCUGGUUGAGCCCUUUCAGAGAGCUUGUCUCUCUUAACUGCUGGUAUUUGUGCAUAACACAGGCAACCAAACACCUUCAGAUGUACCAAGGAAGGCUUGAAACCGGACCAAGCCUCGAAAGGUGUUUUGGAUGCAAGAGCUUUGGUAGGAAGCCUAUUUUGAAGGUAGACAGCAGUGUUUACUGCCUCAGCCCACAUGGUCUUGGGCAGUUUCUUCUCAAACAGCAGGCACCUGGCCAUAUCCAUCAAGCUUCUGUUCUUUCUUUCUGAUACCCCAUUCUGCUGAGGUGUGUAGACAUUUGUAAGCUGGUGUUUGAUACCAGCAUCAUUGCAAAUGGCUUGAAACUGAGCUGAAGUGUACUCAGUGCCAUUGUCUGACCUUAUCGAUUUCAGCUUGCAACCUGUUUCUGUCUCUACAGCAAUUUUAAACUUCACAAACACUUGAGCUACCUCAAACUUGUGUUUUAAGAAGAAAAUCCAGCAAAACCUUGUAAAAUCAUCAAUGAAGAGGAUGAAAUACCUAUUUUUCUUGAGUGAUUCAGUCCUCAUCGGGCCACAUACAUCAGAGUGCACCAGCUGUAGUUUUUUAGUAGCUCUCUAAGCUGAAUUUGUAGGAAAUGGCAGUCUUGCCUGUUUCCCCAUCUGGCAAACUUCACACACAUCAUCAUGCUCCACUGAGCUAGUAAAGUUCUCUGCCAAGCCUUCUUUGGCCAUUCGAGCCAAUGAUCUGAAGUUGGCAUGCCCAAGCCUUUGAUGCCAAAGCUUGGAAUCAUCAACAGAGGCUGUAUAUGCAGACUUUGAGUCAUUUGGCCAGUGUACCUCAAAGCAUUUGUUAGUCAUUGUGACUGUCAUAAGGCUUGAUCCACUUGGAUCAGCAAUGUGGCACUGUUUGUUCUUGAACACAACAGAAUAGCCUUUCUUGAGCAAUUGAGCUAUGCUGAGAAGGUUUCUGUCGAUUUCUGGCACUAACAGCACAUUUGGAAUGAUCUUGUUGCCUGUGGGGGUACAUAUCAGCACCUCUCCUCUUCCUUCAGCCCUUAUGAACUGACCAUUUCCAACCUUGACCUUGGUUUUACAACUUCUAUCCAAGGUUUUAAAUAAGGAGGCAUCUGGUGACAUGUGGUUAGUGCAACCACUGUCCAAUAACCAGCCUUUUGAGCAUUUCUUCUCAGCAGCUAAGAAAGAAACAGCAAAGACCUGCUCUUCUUGAUCACUACUGUCCUCAGCUACUCGAGCUUCAACCUUUGGUUGUUGAAAUUGACUCUGCCUUGACUUGGUUUUAUUUUUGCAAACCCUUUCAACAUGGCCUUUCUUCUUGCAGUGUUGGCAUACUGCAUCUGGCCUGAACCAGCAUCUGUCUUCUGGAUGACCUGGCCUCUUGCAAUGUCUGCAGGGCUGGUCAUUGCUCCUUGCAGUAUCAGGCUUAGGCCUGCUUUUCCAAGGCUUUUUACCUCUUGGAGCAUUGAUGCUCGAGGCUUCUCUGGCCUUGGCAUUGAAUGCACCUUCCUGGUGGUCUUCAGCUCUGCUAGCUCUCCUUUGUUCCUGAGCAUAGAAAGUGUUGAUUAGCUCAGUCAAAGAGAUGGUAGCAAGGUCUCUUGAGUCCUCAAGAGAGGAUAUCUUGGCCUCAUAUCUCUCAGGCAAAGUGGAGAGAACUUUCUCUACUAUCCUUGCCUCAUCAAAGUGCUCACCAAGGAGCCUUAUACUGUUAACCACUGCCAUGAUUCUAUCUGCAUACUGCUUCACUGUUUCUUCUUCCUUCAUCUUCAGGUUCUCAAAAUCCCUUCUCAAAUUCAAUAGCUGUUGUUGCCUUGUUCUCUCAGUGCCUUGAAACUCCUCCUUAAGCUUAUCCCAUGCCUGUUUUGGAGUCUCACAGGCCAUAAUUCUGGUGAAGAUGACAUUUGACACACAAUUCUGAAUGCAGGACAUGGCUUUGUGCCUUUUGGUCCUCUCAUCAGCAUGUUGCCUAAUCUGAGCUACUGUGGGAUUGGCCCUCAGUGGUGCUGGCUCAGCAUCUGUGUUGACAACUUCCCACAGAUCAAAGGCCUGUAGGUAAGUCUUCAUCUUGACCAGCCAUAUGUGAAAGCCUUCUCCAUUGAAGACUAGUGGGGCUGCUGGUGAAAAACUUGAGGAAGACAUUCAGCUUUCUUAGUUUGAUAAAACAGGUCCACUAAGAAUGAAGCUCUAGAUACCAAUUGUUGGUGCAAAUAGACAACAACAGACUGUUUUCAAUCUUGCUUGUAUAGCAAGCCUCGAGCCUUGCUGAAGAAACAAACUCAGAAGCAAGAACAGAAACACAUGCGAAUGAAAAACAAAAGAAAUUGAGAGAGAGAGUAUUUUGAAUGAAAAGAGCUGAUAUUUCAUUAACAAAUCCAGAAGGCAUAAUGCCAUUACAUAUAAUAGAUAACAACAACAAAAUGAACAAGUCUUUACCUAAUGACAUACCUAACACCACUAAAUUUACAUUGGAAAUUGUUAAUCAGCUUGCUUAAGUUUCUUUGCUGAUUUUUUCAGUCAAUCAAUCAACAAAAAACAUCAUAAGGUUUACCAACUUAGUUCAACAUGAACUAGAUUACAAAAUAAUAAUUAAAAAUACAAUCAAAACAUAACAAGUAGUUAGGCAACUUUAAGCUCCAGUUUCUGCACUUCAUAGCUCGACUGCUUGCUGCCACUUCUCCUUGCAUGGCCACCUUUGCAUGUCUUGCAUGGGAACUAAAUUCAACAAAACUCCUUCUGCCACUCGAAACAAUGACCAUUCCAAACAUUUUGAUAGACAAUACACAAUUUGCUUCACUACUUACUCACAUAGCCAAAAAAUAUCCAAUGAAACUGGCAAAGGGUUCUUCCAAAAUGGUACAUUAGCUGCCAAAAAGACAACCACCAUAUAUUCCUUCAUUCAGUAAACAGCUUCAAUAUGGAAAUAAGUUAUUAUCUUAAAAAUGCUUUUUCUACCACAGAAGAAUAAGAACUAGGCAUCUCAGAAAAUUUGCUAAAUUAAUGACUUUGCUCCCUUCAAAAUAAACAAAUGAUUAACUGCAUUAUCCCAAAGAGGUCACCAUCAACCUCCAGUUGAACUUUCAAGGAAUAAUAAUAAAAAAUAGAAGGAAAUAAGGGGGAAAAAACCCAACCAGAACUCAGUAAUAGCUGAGCCUUGAAGAUCUGUAGGUAGUAAGAGAAAAACCCCAUGACGACUAAAGUCCAGGCUUGAAAGAACCAAAAGGGAGCAACAUAUGACUAUGAUUCACUGGACCAAGAGAAUCACCAAUGAAUAAAGGAAAAAGGGUACUUUCCUUUAUACCUAAACAUACAAUAUUUAGCCUCAAAAUGGGAAAAUUUCAGGUUUUCACAAAGGGUUUAAGAAAGAGGGUGAAAGUUAAAGAACUUGUCUUUGUUUUGAUGUGUGGUACACGAGAUAGUGAAGGAAAAUAGAGGUGAGGAAAUAAGAUGGAGUAAGUGCCUAAGUGGUGAAAAAGGAGAGCCUAAAAGAGACAUUUUUGAAGGGUAGUUUAGAAGCUGCAGAGGCUUUGGCAUACAGCAGCUGAUAAUGAGAGAAGACAAACCAGAAAUGUAAGUACGACGACGAUAAAAAUUAAAAAAUUUUAAGAAUUAAUGAAAUAAAAUUUUGUAGCUUAGCGAAUUGGGACGAAGUCCACCAGUGUGAUGCCCAUAGAUCCAUACCUGGGAUUUUUCUAUUUGGGCUAACUUUCUAACUUCUCCCACCAGUCUUAAAACUUUGCAGAUUUUUUCAAUUUGAUCUGGAUUGUAUGAUAACAUAUCACUUUGAGAUUGGAAAAAAAAUUAUUUUUUUUAAAUUAGAGAAAAAAUAAAGAAACUAAAUUUCAAGCAUGCAAAGUACAAAAGAAAGAACUGUAUUAAUAAAAGAUGAGUUACUUCACUCAGAUUGGAGUACCCUUUAAACAAGUUUAUUCUUGUAGAGAAAGAAACUGGAUUUUGAUUUCAUUUGCUGUGGCAAAAUUUUUAAUUUCAACAACAGUAUAACAUAUUGAAAGCCUGCCUACAUCUCGGCAGAAAAAUUUACAAAUUCUUUCAUCAGACAAUUUAAAUGAUGCAAUGCAAAGAUUCAUCAAUGUAUGAUCUUUUUAUCAUAAAUGGCUGUUUUACUGGAAAACUUGAUAUGUACUGUCUUUCACAUUCUUUUGUGCUGAAUGGUCUCUGAAAACUGCAAUCAUCAACUAUAGAUAACCCAUUCCUCAGCGCCGCCAGAGCCGACCUUGUUGUUUCUGUUCUUGAACUUGCCUGUGUCAUCAAAGGCAGUGAGCAUUUAUCAAUGUUAUAAAAAUGGCAUAUCGAAGUCAGAUUUUACUUGACAAUACACAAAUGUAAGAAGAUAAUUCACCUUUGAUACUCUUUAGAACGCUCGAGAAACUCUUUCGCGAUGUCUUUUCUUUAAUAUGAUUGCAAUACUUGUCUGAUAUCAGCCGGACCAUUGUGUUAGUACAAAACUCCGGUAAGGAAAAAAACUCGAACACACGAUCGGAACUCGAAAAGAAAAAGAAGAAAUAGGACAGGCUCCAAGGCGUGUAUCAAGCCACUAUCUUUAAGGUUAUAUUCGCCCCCACUUAUCUUCAGUGUGCAAACGAGUUCCAAGCAAAUUAACCUCGAGGAUACAAUGAAGCCAAUGACUAUUUGCGUUUUGCACUGACGAGAAUAGUCCACUAUACACUAAGUAAUGUAUAACAAAAACUCAAUUUCUACAAAGGAUUUCUGCAGCAAUACUUUAUAGAAUAAUCUAAUAAUAUUAGAAAAUGAAGGAAGAGAAGAAAUAAUAUUAGAAUUUGUUGAUAUGAUUUCCAAAUGAAAUCCCAUUCCUAUUUAUAGGAAUUUUCAUGUCUCUUCAUAGAGACAUCUUUCAAUAGGUGUCUUUAUGAAUAAAUAAAUAAUAAUAAUUAUUCAUUUAAUUUUGUAACUAUUCAAAUAAUAUUUUUUGAAUAGUUAUAAUUCUUUUUUAAAAAAUCAAAUGAUAUAACUUUUGACCAAUGACCAAAAGUUUUAUCUUUUGAUUAAUUACACCCAUUCAUUUAUAGUUAUUGGGAUACUAUAAAUAUUUGAAAAUAUUCCAACAAUCUCCCCCCAUUUUCAAAAUAUUUAGAUUUUGAUAUUCUUGGAAAUCAAUUUGCAUAAAUAAAGGUGUCUUACGAUUGAACCUUCACUUAGUGAAAACAUGUUAAAGUUAAUCGAAAUUGUAUGGUAGACUAAGCUUUGAACCAACUAUUCCAUUUGAUUAAUUGAACACAUCUCACACAAUGAUUUCAACAUCAGUCAAUGCAUAGUAUCUAGGGACACUAUUAUAGCCAUGUGUCUAUGUCCUCUUUUCAUGAGUGCUGUCAGAGCCAAGCCCUUAAGCUCCUAGAAGCGGCCACACUUCCACUCACAUAGGUAGAUCCCAUCAAAAGUGUUCCCGUAAUUAUAACACUCUAACAUAUUUAUGUUAUGGGUCCAUUAAGAGUAAAUUACUCAUCCUUCCCUUAUCAUUACGGGUACCUAGCACUUUAAUCUUAGGAUGGAUUUAUUUAUAGUGCUAACAGUCACAUACUAAUGAUGUACUUUGUCUCAUUGAACUCAAGACUUGACGUUAUACCAAGCAUUGAGUCGAGUUUCCAUCAUGGGUGACUCUAAUUAAUAGGCUUGAGUCCCAUCCCUUUUGAGGUCCUUUUUACUGCAUCUCUAGCAAGACUUUUUGUCAAAGGAUCUGCCAAAUUUUCACUUGACCUCACAUAAUUAAUAGUGAUCACUCCAUCAGAGAUUAAUUGUCGGACAUAACUAUGUCUUAAUCCAAUGUGUCUAGACUUUCCAUUAUAUACUUGGCUAUAUGCCUUUGCUAGAGUAGCCUCACUAUCACAACGGAUAGAAAUAGGUGAAAUUGGCUUAAGCCAUAAACGUACAUCAUAAAGCAAAUUUCUUAACCAUUCUGCUUCUUUAGAUGCAGCGGCUAAUGCAAUAAAUUCUGCUGCCAUGGUGGAAUCAGUAAUACAUGUUUGUUUCUUGGAACCCUAAGAAAUGACUCCUCCACCAAGAAUGAAGAUCCACCCACUAGUAGAUGCAUGAUCUUCCAAACUUGUAAUCCAACUAGCAUCCGAAUACCCUUCUAAAACUGGAGGAUAUCCAUUAUAACACAAUCCAUAGUUAAUAGUUUUCUUUAAGUACCUAAGUACUCUAUUUAAAGCUUGCCAAUGCAAACUACUUGGAUUAUUUGUGUAUCUACUCAAUUUUCCAAUAGCAUAUGCAAUAUCUGGUCUUGUACAAGUCAUUAUGUACAUAAGAAAACCAAUUGACUUGCAUAUUUCAAUUGAUCAAUUUUCCUACCAGCAUUAGAUACUAAUUUUAAUUGAGGAUCCAUGGGUGUAGAUACUGGUAUACAGUUGAAAAUAUCAAACUUUUUAAGCACAUUUUCAAUGUAAUGUGAUUGUGAUAAAGCUAUAGUGCUUUCAUCUCGGGUUAUUUUAAUCCCAAGAAUAACAUCUUCUACACCCAUAUCCUUCAUAGCAAAGUUGUUUGACAAGAAUUUCUUUGUGUUUUCUAUUUGUUCCAAAUCCGUGCCAAAAAUGAGCAUGUCAUCUACAUAUAAGCAAAUUAUAACACCCUUUCCAUUAUCAAAUUUACUAUAUAUGCACUUAUCGGAUUCAUUUAUUUAUAGCCAUUAGCUAAAACAACCUUGUCAAACUUUUGGUGCCAUUGUUUUGGUGCUUGUUUAAGCCCAUAUAAAGAUUUAACAAGCUUACAUACCUUAUGCUCUUGUCCUGGAACAACAAAUCCUUCCGGUUGCUCCAUGUACACUUCCUCUUCCAAUUCACCAUUUAAAAAUGCAGUUUUAACAUCCAUUUGGUGAACAACCAAAUUAUAUAUAGAGGUAAGUGAUAUUAAUAGUCUAAUUGUAGCAAUUCUUGCUACUGGAGCAUAGGUAUCAAAGUAAUCAAUACCUUGUCUUUGUGUAAAACCUUUUGCUACCAACCUUGCUUUAAAUUUAUCAAUGGUUCCAUCGACCUUCAUUUUCUUUUUGAAGAUCCAUUUACAACCUAUUGGUUUGGAACCUGGUGGAAGAUCAACUAAGAUCCAAGUUUGAUUUCCCAUUAUUGAAUCCAUUUCAUCAUUUAUUGCUUCUUUCCAAAAAGUAGAGUCUUGAGAUUUCACUGCUUCUUCAAAUGUAACAGGAUCAGAUUCGGUAUUAUAACAAUAAGGUAUCUUAUUGCAUAUACUUUCACCUUUUCCUUCUAUAAGAAACAUAAUGAAAUCUGGUCAAAAAUCUUUGACCUUUUUAAUCCUCUUACUUCUUCUUAAUUCUUGACAAGAUUCAUCAUUAUUAUCAAUUUGUUUCAAUGGAAUCUCAUUCUCAUUUGAAGAAUGAAUCAAUUGUUGUGGUUGUAAUUGUCUUGAUAUAGAAUUAAAUCUAUUUUCAUCAAAAAUAGCAUCUCUUGAUUCAAUAACCGUAUUAAUUGAAAUUGAAUCAUUUGGUUCAAUUACUAUGAACCUAUAUGCCUUGCUAUUAUGUGCAUAACCUAUAAAUAUGCAUUCAAUUCCUCUUUCACCUAACUUUUUACGUUUAGGUGUUGGAACUUUUACAAUAGCUCUACAACCCCAAACCUUUAAAUAAUUAAGGUUUGGUUUCCUUUUCUUCCAUUGUUCAUAGAGGGUUAUUUUAGUUUCCUUAUUAGGAACUCUAUUCAAUAUAUGACAAGCUGUUAGAACAGCUUCUCCCCAAAAACCCUGUCCAAGACCUGAAUAUGAUAACAUUGAAUUUACCAUUUCAAUCAAGACUCUAUUUUUCCUUUCAGCUACACCAUUUUGUUGUGGUGUGUAAGGGGCUGAAACUUGAUGGACAAUUCCAGUGAGUUCAAAAUAACUUGGAUUAUAGUAUUCUCCACCUCUAUCCGAUCUUAAGCACUUGAUAAAUGAUUCACACUGAAGUUCAACUUCAGAUUUAUAAACUUUAAAUUUAUCAAGCGCUUCAUCUUUUGAAUGCAAUAAAUAUACAUAACAAUAUCUAGAACAAUCAUCAAUAAAAGUAACAAAAUAUUUCUUUCCACCUAAUGUAGGAGUAUUAUGCAAGUCACAUAAAUCACUAUGUAUCAAAUCAAGCAAUUUUGUUUUCCUUUUAACCUUAGGGAAAGGAUUUCUUGUAAUUUUAGUCAACAUACAGGUAUUGCAUUUUUCAAUAUUAUUAUUAAAAACAGGAAUUAAAUCUAAUUUAUACAUGUCAUUCAAUUUUCUAUAAUUCAAAUGACCUAAUCUAUAAUGCCACAAACAAAAUGAUUCAACCAUAUAAGCAGAAAUAGUAUUUUUAUUCUUAUUAAUAAUAUUAAGUUUGAACAUGCUUUCAUACAUAUACCCUUUUUCCCACAAAAAUUCCUCCCUUAGACAAAAUAAACUUAUCUGCCUCAAAAACAAGUUUGAAACCAAACUUAUUCAACAGACUUCCAGACACUAAAUUUUUCCUAACUUCUGGUACAUAAUAUACAUCAUUUAAGGUUAAAACCUUUCCAGAAGUGAAUUGUAGUUCAACAGACCCUUUGCCUUUAAUUUGCGGUGGAAGAAUUUCCCAUGUACAAGACAUUGUCAUUUUCACAUUGUGUGACUUUGUGAACAUGCUUUUGUCUUUGCACACAUGUUUGGUUGCUCCGGUAUCAAUCCACCAUGUAUUAUCAUCUUGUACCAUAUUAAUUUCAGAUAUCAUUGCAACGAACUUUUCGUUAUUAUCAGCCUUAGAAGAUGAUUUCUUCUUUAAAAAUCGAUAUUCAUUCUUGAAAUGUCCCGGCUUUCCACAAUGAUAGCAUGAGCCCUUUUGUUUCUUUUUGAACUUAGGUGCUCUAUCAGCCUGAUUGAACUUUCUUUUGAAUGGUUUAGUAGUCUGUACUUCCUCCGUAACAUGUACUUUGGCAUUUUCAGAAUUUAGGUUCUGAUCUUGUUGUCGAUACUCUUCUUCAAUACGAAGAUGAUUUGCCAAAGCCUCAAGAGAUAUUUCCUCUUUCUUAUGUUUUAGACUUCUUUUAAAGUCUUUCCAAGAUGGAGGAAGUUUGUCUAUUAUAGAGGAUACCACAAUUAUUUCAUCCAUUUUCAUAUCAUAUUGCUUAAAUUGAUUCAACAUCUUUUCAAUAUCACGAAAUUGUUCCAUAACAGAACGACCAUCAACCAUUUGAUAAUUAUUGAAACGACUGACAAGAAAUUUCUUACUUGUAACAUCUUCGGUCAUGUAUCUUGCCUCCAAUUUGUCCCAUAAAUCUUUAGCGGUGACGUCGUUUUGGUAGGUGUCGAACAAACCAUCAGAUAAACCAUUCAAUAUGUGGCCCAUGCACAUGUAAUCAGCAUUGUCCCAUUUUUGUCUUUCUCGGGUUGCAGCAAUAGAUUCGUUUUCAUUCUCUUCAGGUCUUGGAGUAUCCAAAACAUAAGCAAUCUUCAAAGUUGAUAACAAAAAGUGCAUCUUUUUCUGCCAUCGUCGAAAAUUGCCACCAUCAAAACGAUCAAGUUUAACAAAGUUGGAAGCCAACUCCCUUAGUGUUCCACUUUCAUGUGUUGUGGUAGUCAUCAUGAAAUAUAACCUUAAAAUUGUUAGUACAAAACUCCGGUAAGGAAAAAAACUCGAACACACGAUCGGAACUCGAAAAGAAAAAGAAGAAAUAGGACAGGCUCCAAGGCAUGUAUCAAGCCACUAUCUUUAAGGUUAUAUUCGCCCCCACUUAUCUUCAGUGUGCAAACGAGUUCCAAGCAAAUUAACCUCGAGGAUACAAUGAAGCCAAUGACUAUUUGCGUUUUGUACUGACGAGAAUAGUCCACUAUGCACUGAGUAAUGUAUAACAAAAACUCAAUUUCUACAAAGGAUUUCUGCAGCAAUACUUUAUAGAAUAAUCUAAUAAUAUUAGAAAAUGAAGGAAGAGAAGAAAUAGUAUUAGAAUUUGUUGAUAUGAUUUCCAAAUGAAAUCCCAUUCCUAUUUAUAGGAAUUUUCAUGUCUCUUCAUAGAGACAUCUUUCAAUAGGUGUCUUUAUGAAUAAAUAAAUAAUAAUAAUUAUUCAUUUAAUUUUGUAACUAUUCAAAUAAUAUUUUUUGAAUAGUUAUAAUUCUUUUUUAAAAAAUCAAAUGAUAUAACUUUUGACCAAUGACCAAAAGUUUUAUCUUUUGAUUAAUUACACCCAUUCAUUUAUAGUUAUUGGGAUACUAUAAAUAUUUGAAAAUAUUCCAACACAUUGCGGGCUACAUCUGUGAACAAAUCAAAACAAAUGGUACUAUAAUCAACAAAUGAAUAUAGGAAACAUAAAAUUUGAACAAAGGCGAUGUGCAGAGGAAAAAGCAACAACAUAAGACUUACAUUCAAGAAAUGGAAUAAGGUCUAAAAGUGCGGUAUCAUCAGUCUCGACCUUAUAUGGCUUAAUAUGGACACAAUUUUCUGGUUGAAGGCUAGAAUCAAAUGCAUGAGCACUCACAUAUAAAAUCUUGGUUGGAUCCCUGUUUAGCUUUGAAAGAUCCUGCCAACAGGAACUAUUUGUUAACAAUAAGGCUUCUUUUUAAGUAGCAGCUUGUAAAGGCACUGUCUCAUAUAUUAAUUCACAUAGUAUUGUAGAAACUAAGGAGGAGAAAACCAAAAGCAAAAUGUUUUGAAGGGAAGAGAUUGACUAUGACAUGGUAAAAGUAUCAUGGAGGCCCCUAUGUUAGGAGUUAGAUUGCCUUUUGCCCCCUUUACUCAAAAACUGGAUAAAUUAGUCCCUAUAUGUUAGAUUAAAGAGUAAGCUAGACUUUCUGUUAAAAAUUUCAUCCAUUGCUACUGUUAAAAACUGGUGCAGUUGAUAAAAUAACCAAACAGUUACACAUAAUGUGUCACGUGUACCUCAUGCUAAUGUAUAUGGACCAAUUUUUAACAGUAGAAAUGGAUGGAACUUGUAACAGAAGGGCUGGUUUGCUUUUUAAUCUAAUUUACAGGGAUUAAUUUGCCCAUUUUUUUAGUAAAGGGGUGAAAUGCAAUAUGACUCCUAGUAUAAGGGCCUCCAUGGUACUUUUACCACUAUGACAUACUCUAUAAUGCUUGCCAUCCUGAUAUUUAGUAGCACCCCUUGAUAGCCUAUAUCGUAUACAAUGGUUAGUGUCCAACCUUUCACAAGCAGGAUCAACAUACCGCAUAGCCAAAAACAAAAUAAUUAUGAACUUGCAGGCAACAUCAGUUAUAGUAUAUCUGAAAAAGAUAAGGAAAAAAAACUGUUACUUUCAUAUCUAAUUUCUUUAUAGUAUUAGGACAAACUAAACAAUGGAUAUAUCACAUUAUUAAGACUUAGCUAAGGAGCCGCUGAUAUACAUUCAAAUGAUCAAUCAUAAAGGAUGAACUAGGAGGCCUAAUGAUAAAUCAAAAUUACACCUAAACCAGUUAUAUGUCUAAAGGCAAUUGCACAUUAUAUCAAUCAAACAACUAAAAUAAAUAGAGAAAAUCCUUUAAAAUAUUCAAUUUCUAAACAAAAUCAAACUCACAUCAAUAGCAGAUCUUGACAAAGAAACCCAAAAUCACAAAUGAUCCUAUCUUUUUAAAAGGGGAAAAAGAAAACUUACUAUAAGAGAGAUAACCAGCAUAGCCAGUAGUUCCAGUAACACCUGCAAUGAGUCCGUACUUGACAAAGCUCUAAAUUUUCCCUCCCGAAACCUGUGGGGCAACUUUCGGCGCCAGAGGAGGAGGUGUCGACUGAUCGGAGAGAAUGGAUUGUGAAGAACAAUCCAAACUUAAUUUACAAGCAAUGUGGAAAUUUUGGACGUUGCAGUAUUGACUACGUUUACUUGAGGGAAAACAAAGACAUGAAUGCUGGAAAUUUUAACUAGUUUGUACGGUCAAUGAAGCUACCUCGAAUGUUAAAUAUGUUACUCUGCAAUGCCAUUGUAAAUAUGACUGUUAAAUUUGUUGAUAGCGGAAUUGUUCCACUCAAGUUAUUGUGGGACAAAUCAAGAAUUUGAAGAAAAGUGACAUUGCAUGUUAAACAAGAGACCUCUCCAUUGAAACUAUUAUUUGAGAUCAGAAAGACAUUGAUUGUCGAAGCUGGAAUCGGAAGAUUUCCACGGAUCAAAUAGGAGCUUAAGUCAAGAACUACAAUAUUCUUCCAUGGAAAGUGCAAAACUUCUGUCAAAGAGUUGCUGUAAUUGGAUUAAUCUCAUCGUUGCUGCAAUCUUUUGACAAAUCGAAUCUUAAAUAUGUUACUCUGCAACGCUAUUGUAAAUGUUACUCUUAAAUAUUACUCUGUAACUAGAUUGAUGGCUCAAUCUUGUUUUUAACAUUGUUAUGGGUAUUACUACUUUCAUGCUUUGAUACGCGAUACCCUCUUUCUAGGUGACAUUUUUGCUCCUUCCGGGCCACCAUGGGCUCUCUGCAUCACUCACCAACCUCAUUAGAUUCCCCGGGUGCCAUUUGGCCAUCUCAAGUCUCAAAAUAGCAUCAAAAUGCACUCUAAUAAUUUAUUAAUAUAAAGAACUAAAACAAAAUAAAAACACAACAAAGAUAUCUAAAUUGCACGAAAAUAAGCUUUUAAGUGUGAUGGAGAGUCUAAUUUGACAUAUCAAUUAAUGUUUGACUAUCUCCAUCUCACUUUUUAUUAAUUAAGGAAUAUGAAUUAGAAUUAAUAUAAACUUACUAUUUUAACAUUUCAUAAGCAAAAGCUAAAAUAAUAUUGGUCACAUCCCAUAUCUUCAUAUAUAGCUUAUCAGACAAAAGUUAAAACAGCCUUCAGUUCAUCUACAUUCUACAUUCCACGUCGAAUCUGCAAGCAUCAAAUAUUAACCUUUGAACUCCAAAAUAACAACACCAAUUUCCAGCAAUUGCAGAAGAAUGUCCAAUAAUUCCACACAAAUUAACAACAAUUUGCCAGCAUCCACUACAUUCGUAUGAAUUCCACACAAAUUAAGACUGGAAACUCUAACUUGUUCAUACCCUCAAUGAAGCUACCUAAAAGUUAUGAAUUCCACUGCAAAUUUUGUAUUGCUUGGAAUGAAUUGACUGUAAUUUCCUAUUACUUGCCACAAAAUUUUCUUUUACUGCUAACUUGUAAAAAAAUUAUGAAAAUACAACAGAGAUCAUUGAGACAUUUUGUUCUCCUUUCUCCUUUACUGAGCAGUAGCAAAGAUUAUCGAGACUAAAUUGAAAGUCAUGAAAGAAGACAUAAACAACACCACCAUACAAAAUGUUACACUCAAACAAACCAUUACAGAUAGUACGAAAUGCAAUGAAAGACACAGGAAUUGGUACAACAAUAAAGACAGACACAUACCAAUGCAACCCUUCACCAUAGGCAAAACGGUCUACAGAAUAAGAAAUUAUGAAAAUACAACACUAAUUCUUGAACAUCAUUUCCAGUAAUUAGAUCCUUCUUCGUCUAUUGCUUCGAUUGCCUUUCUUUGACUUUCUUCUUCGCCUCAUCUCUUGUUGGUUUUCAACCAAAUUCACCAACCAUUUCGGCUUACCAAUUUGGAAAACAACAUAUCCCACGGACAUUCCGAACACCACUCUGCAUCCAUAACCUAUCAACACCACUUUCCAACCAAAAGCAAUGUUUGAUUUUGAGCCAUCUUUUUCAAGCGCAUUUGGAGGUGCUGGCUCAAUGAUGUUGCAACCUUUCGAGACCGGAAACCCACACAGUCCAUUAUUCCCUUCAUAUGAAUCAUUUCCAAAUGUGUUGAAUUGUUUUCCUUGAGGAAUCUGACCAUGGAGUUGAUUUUCAGCGACAUUGAAGGACGAAAGAAAUGGCAGAUCUGCCAAUCUAUUUGGAAUCGUCCCAGACAACCUGUUUGAAGAUAGGUCCAACCAUUCAAUACUUGUCAAAUUCCCUAUUGAUGUGGGAUACCACCAUUAAGGUUAUUAUGAGAAAGGUUGAGCCCUUUCAGUAAGUUAAGCUUCCCAAAAACCUUUGGAAUACCCCCUUCAAACUGAUUGUUUGAUAGAUCAAUGAUCAUCCACAUGGUGAAAAUUUUCACCAAUUCCAUAUAUUGUCCUUUCAUAACAGUUCCGAUGGAAUAGGUAUAGAAGCCAUUACCUCUCGGAACAUACAUCCCCAUGUACGACAUUGUACUCCCAAUCUUCUCUAGAUUUAUGAUACCCUUGAAGCUGUUGAUGUAUCUCACUGGUAGGGGUCCAGAAAAAUAAUUACUUGAGAGAAAAAAAAUUUGGAUUUUAGAGAAAAAAGGGCUAGACUUGGAGCUAUUGUCACAUAAGGAACCAUGCAUAUGAUUUGACUUCAAUACAAGAACUUGUAGCUGUGGAAGACUUCCCAACCAAUGAGGAAAUGUAUCAUUGAUCUUGUUCUUCUUCAGAUUCAAGAAUUGAAGGCUGUAGCUCAAAUUUUCAAAACAUUGCGGAAUUGUUCCGCUCAAGUUAUUGUGGGACAAAUCACGAAUUUGAAGAAAAGUGACAUUGCAUAUUAAAGAAGAGACCUCUCCAUUGAAACUAUUAUUUGAGAUCAGAAAGACAUUGAUCGUCGAAGCUGGAAUGGGAAGAUUUCCACGGAUCAAAUUGGAGCUUAAGUCAAGAACUGCAAUAUUCUUCCAUGGAAAGUGCUCAACUUCUGUCAAAGAGUUGUGAGAUACAUUUAAGUCAAAGAGCCAUUGCCCACCUCUUGCAUCCACUGUGGAAUCUUGCCUUCAAUUUUGUUGCAAGAGAGGUCCAAGCUUUCCAAACUUUUAAGCCCUUAUAAAAACUGGGGGAAUUCACUAAGAUUGAAAGAUGACAAACGUAAGUCUAUAAGAUUAGACAAUAUAUGGUUAACACAAGAAGUAGUAUUAAAUGUUAAGGAUAGGCUGUUAUAUGAAAGGUCGAGAAGUUUUAGAGUUGGAAGGUUUGAGAACAUGCGAAACUCUAUGACACCACUAAGAUUAUUUGAGGAUAAAAGGAGGUGGGUAAGAUUGAGAAGUUGGAAUAUUGAAGAUGGAAGAGGACCUUGGAGUUUAUUAUUGUUUAACCUUAUCAAUUCUAGUGUUUUGGAUUGGAAUUCUUUGAUAUGCCCACUGAAUUGUUUUUAGAGAGAUCUAUUGUUUAACCACGUUAUUUUUCAGUGACGGAUCGAGAAAUAAAACUUAGGGGGAGCAGGGGCGAAGUUAGAAAAUUAGUUUGGGGUAAUCGAAAUUAAAUUAUAUAUUUUUAUGAUAGUAAAAAUAGAAUUUCGUCAUUUUAAUAGCCUAUAUCUUUAUAAUUUUUAGAGGAUUAAAUUAAUUUUUUAUCAUUUGAGGGGGGCAAAGUGCAAUUUUACCGUUAUUAAUUUAAAAUUUUAUAAAUUAUAAAUGGCCUAAAUUUUAAAAAAAAAAUCAUUUUAGGGGGUUGAGACCCUGUCAGCCCUCUCCCUAGACCCACCCCUAGUCUUUUUGAUACAAUUUGGCAGUUUAAGUACUUAAUUAGUGCAAAAAAAAAAAAACUAGGGGCUCAAUAGCUUUUUUUUGAAAAAGUUUGAGAGCCUUUUUGAUCCAUUUUGGCAGUUCAAAUGCCCAAUUCAGUGCAAGAAAAGAAGUAGGGGCUUAAUUAUUUUUUUUUAAAAAAAGUUUGAGAGCCUUUUUACACCAUUGAACCUUUUUUAUACUAAUUGGUAGACGCGAAGUUAUAAAUAUUUAAUUGUUAAUGUAAUUUUUAGAAUUUCUAAAGAAUAAUAAUAUUUAAAAUCUUAUAAUUUUUUUUAUUUCAUGUGCAUAAAAAACUUAAAUAAAUAAGUGUUUAGAUUUAGAUUAAUCACGCUGUCCAUUUAUUCAUAUUCAUUCUAGAGGUAUAACUUUUAGUUAUUUUAUAUGUUUUUAUAAUUAAAAAUAAUGGUAUAAAAGUCGAUUAAGUUUUAGCUCAAUUGACAUAGACAUUGUUGUUGAGGAGGACCUAUUGGUAGUUCUAGGCAUUGUGUCAAAAUGAACUAUAUUUGAUAAGAACCUAUAAUGAAAUUAAUGUUAAAAAAAUAAUAGUAUAAAAAGCUAAUAUUUUUAUAAAAGUUUCAUUUUUUUUUCAGUUUUUGGAUUUUUCUCAUAUAAAAUUUUAGAAUUGUUUCUUGAAUUUUUAUAGCUUUUCUUAUUAUGAUGUUAUAUAAUUUUAGAUUUUUAUACAUCUUUAAUAUUUUUUUAGUUUUUUAUUGUUUCUCAAAUAAUGCUUGGUUGAUGUAGCUUGCCAAGUGGUAUCGUGUUAUUGGCUGUCAAUUUCAAUAAUAAAAAAAUUUGGAGUUGAUUAGUUAUGAACUAACUCGAUUAAUCAAUUCUAAAUUUAAGUACUAAUUAAGUCCAAAAAAAGUUCAAAUUUCAAUUCAUGCAAGUUGGAUGGCAAUGAAACGGGAUUGGGGUGCGAAUAUUGUCAAAUUCACUAUUGUUUCAUAGUUGAUGUGUUUUGUCCCAUCACUCACCCCCGCUCCACUAUGGAUGUUUAAUUUUGAAAACCACUCACCCCAUGGAUGUUGGAUGCAUCCAUCCCUGCUUCACGUCGUGCCAUUUCAAUUUAAUUUUUAUUAGUUUUUUUAAAAAUAUUUUCAAUUUUUUUUUAAUUUUAAAAUAUUUUCAAUCUUUUUAAAACUUAUAAAUAUUUAAACAUAAUUAUUCAAGAAAAACAUUUAAACAUAAAACAUAUGAGUUUUUUAUAACAUAUUUUUACCCUUUAAUAGUUAUAAAUAUACAAGGGUCGAAUAGUAAUUUCAAAUAGUGAAAUAGAGUGGAUUGGGACAAACAAUUACCAUAACUGCUACACUUAAUCAUCGUAAAAAAAAAAAAAAAAAAUCUAUUUCAUCCCCGCCCAUAUUCCCUUUUAAAAGGAUCUACUCUAAAUGAAACAAACCAAUUCAAAAUCCAUUUAACAUCCUAAAUUCUAAAACUAAUUUUGAUAUGAAGUCUCAAUUAAAUUCAAGUAAUAAGGUUUUUUGAUAUGGUUUACACUACUAACUUCUAUAUGAAAACAACAACCAUUUCCCAUGAUGUUUGCGGCUUACCAACAAAUCCUUGCAGAUUUUCAACGUAGAAGAAAAUCAUGAAAAUAAAAAAAAAAAAAAAAAAAAAACUCUGGUUGGGAUUUGUUUCAUAUGGAAAACAGAAAACAAAACUUAAGUUAGUCAAAAUUACCAACUCACUGCUGACAACAUUUUUGUUGUAACCAAACAUUUGGAAGAAAAUAAACACAAGAGCACGCCGUUGACCUGUAUUUCUUUUAUUCUUCAAUUCUAUUUCAUCUUUAAGCUGUAACCAAUGAUAAUCAAAUCUUGACUUGCAUAAAAACCAAAGAAAACAAAAUGAAUGCAGCAGAAUUUUCUACCACAAAUGAGUAGUAAUUUACAGAUAAUAAAAUUAUCGAAAAACUAUUGAGAGUCGAAUUUCAUAUUAAUUGUGGUAUCCAUGAACUAGAAUGUAUUAAAAAAAGAAGGAUAUUGACCUUGAGACUACUUGCAAUUUUCAAAAACACUCUCAAUUCCUCUCCCCCUCUUCGGGCACCGGCCCAAGAUCCUGCCAUUGGCUACCACGCCGGCCGCUAGUCGCCAGCGCCGGCGCCGUGCAUGGAGGAGGAGAGUCCAAAAAUAUCCUUUUUUUUUUCUCACAUGCAGAUCCUCGGCCUCCAAACACUCCGACGACGGCUACAAAGGUAAAAAGGCCUCUCAUUUUUUAUUUUUAUAAUGCUUCAAAAUAAAAAAAUAAAAAAAAGGGAAAAAAUCACCUUUAAAAAAAACUGAUUCCUGUUUUUUAUUUCUCUUUGUUUUUUUUUUUCCAAAAGAGAACUCCCUUAAUUUUUCAUCUUUUUUAGCCCUUAAACCUACGUUGUUUAUCAAUAACCUUAAACUUACAUUGUUUACCGGAUGAAAAAUUUAAUAUUUAUUAACUUUGCUAAGGUGCACAUAUGCAAUUUAUUUAAAUCUAAAAACUAUAAAAUAUCUUAAAAUUAAAACUAAAAGUUUUUAAACUACUUGAUUGCUCCUUUCUCCUUUACUGAGCAGUAGCAAAGAUAAUCGAGACUAAAUUGAAAUCCAUGAAAGAAGACAUAAAACACCUCCAUACAAAGUGUCACACUCAAACAAACCAUUACAGAUAGUACGAAAUGCAAUGAAAGACAGAGGAAUUGCUACAAUAACAAAGACAGACACAUACCAAUGCAACCCUUCACCAUAGGCAAAACAAGAAAUUAUGAAAAUACAACACUAGUUCUUGAACAUCAUUUGCAGUAAUUAGAUCCUUCUUCGUCCACUGCUGCGAUUGCCUUUCUUUGACUUUCUUCUUCGCCUCUUCUCAUGUUGGUUUUCAACCAAAUUCACCAACCAUUUCGGCUUUCCAGUUUGGAAAACAACAUAUCCCACCAGCAUUCCGAACACUACUCCGCAUCCAUAACCUAUCAACACCACUUUCCAUUCAAAAGCAAUGUUUGAUUUUGAGCCAUCUUUUUCAAGCACAUUUGGAGGUGCUGGCUCAAUGAUGUUGCAACCUUUCGAGACCGGAAAUCCACAUAGUCCCUUAUUUCCUUCAUAUGAAUCAUUUCCAAAUGUGUUGAAUUGUUUUCCUUGAGGAAUCUGACCAUGGAGUUGAUUUUCAGAAACAUUUAAGGACGAAAGAAAUGACAGAUCUGCCAAUCUAUUUGGAAUCGUCCCAGACAACCUGUUUGAAGAUAGGUCCAACCAUUCAAGACUUGUCAAACUCCCUAUUGAGGAGGGGAUAUCACCAUUAAGGUUAUUAUGAGAAAGGUUGAGCCCUUUCAGUAAGUUAAGCUUCCCAAUAACCUUUGGAAUACCCCCUUCAGACUGAUUGUUUGAUAGAUCAAUGAUCAUCCACAUGGUGAAAAUUUUCACCAAUUCCCUAUCUUGUCCUUUCAUGACAAUUCCAAUGGAAUAGGUAUAGAAGCCACUACCUCGAGAAUCAUUCACCCCCAUGUACGACACCGUACUACCAAUCUUUUCUAGAUUUAUGAUAGCCUUGAAGCUGUUGAUGUAUCUCACUGGUAGGGGUCCAGAAAAAUAAUUACUUGAGAGGUCAAAAAUUUGGAUUUUAGAGAAAAAAGGGCUAGACUUGGAGCUAUUGACACGCAAGGAACCAUGCAUAUGAUUUGACUUCAAAACAAGAACUUGCAAAAAUGGAAGACUUCCCAACCAAUGAGGAAAUGUAUCAUUGAUCU